rnacentral:lncRNA from 1 species
ACUUGUCUGAAUGGGACCCCAGCAAGGCACACGUGGUCUUCAAUGCGAUGGGCGCUUCCAGGGGACCCGGCGUCCCUUGGGUCCAGGAAGUCUUAUACUGUCUCCUCUCACGGCCCCGACAGAAACGGUUUCUGAGGAGUAGAAGUGUCCUAAGUGGAUUGGAAAUUACAAAUGCCGGAAAGAACCUAGGGAUGGAAAGCAGCCCUCGACUCAGCCCACCAGCACCCAGUUGAAAUAAACAGCCAUGUUGCUCACAGAAAGCCUGUUUGGUGAUCUCUUCACACGGACACAUGAAACAUUUGGUGCCAAAGACCCGGGUCAGUGGGACUCCUUUUGGAGACCAGUCCCCUGUCCUCACCCUCACUCCGUGAAGAGAUCCACCUACGACCUCAGGUCCUCAGACCAACCAGCCCAAGGAACAUCUCACCGAUUUUAAAUCAGGACCCCACUAGAAAUUGGACUGUCCAACUGGCCCAAGGCUCUGAUCGACUCCUUCCCAGAUCUCCUCGGCUUAGCAGCUGAAGACUGACACUGCCUGAUCGCCUCGGAAGCCCCUUGGACCAUCACGGACGCUGAGCUUCGGGUAACUCUCACAGUGAAGGGUAAGUCCAUCCCCUUCUUAAUCAAUACGGAGGCUACUCACUCCACAUUACCUUAUUUUCAAGGGCCUGUUUCCCUUGCCUCCAUAACUGUUGUGAGUAUUGACGGCCAGGCUUCUAAACCUCUUAAAACUCCCCAACUCUGGUGCCAACUUGGACAAUAUUCUUUUAUACACUCCUUUUUAGUUAUCCCCAUCUGCCCAACUCCCUUAUUAGGUUGAGACAUUUUAACUAAAUUAUCUGCUCCUCUCACUAUUCCUGGGCUACAGCCAUACCUCAUUGCCACCUUUUCCCCCAUUUCAAAGCCUCCUUCACAUCCUCUCCUUGUAUCUCCCCACCUUAAAUCCACAAGUAUAGGACACCUCUACUCCCUCCUUGGCGACCGAUCAUGCACCCCUUACCAUCUCAUUAAAACCCAAUCACCCUUACCCCGCUCAACGCCAAUAUCCCAUCCCACAGCACACUUUAAAAGGAUUAAAGCCUGUUAUCACUUGCCUGUUACAGCAUGGGCUUCUAAAACCUAUAAACUCUCCUUACAAUUCCCCCAUUUUACCUGUCCAAAAACCAGACAAGUCUUACAGGUUAGUUCAGGAUCUGCGCCUUAUCAACCAAAUUGUUUUGUGUAUCCACCUUGUAGUGCCCAACCCUUACACUCUUUUGUCCUCAAUGCCUUCUUCCACAACUCACUCUUCCGUUCUUGAUCUUAAAGAUGCUUUUUUCACUAUUCCCCUGCACCUCUCAUCCCAGCCUCUCUUUGCUUUUACCUGGACUGACCCUGACACCCAUCAGUCCCAGCAGCUUACCUGGGCUGUGCUGCCGCAAGGCUUCAGGGACAGCCCUCAUUACUUCAUCCAAACUCUUUCCCAUGAUUUACUUUCUUUCCACCUCUCUGCUUCUCACCUUAUUCAAUAUAUUUGAUGACCUUCUACUUUGUAGCCCCUCCUUUGAAUCUUCUCAACAAGACACCCUCCUGCUCCUUCAACAUUUAUUCUCCAAAGGAUAUCCAGUAUCCCCCUCCAAAGCUCAAAUUUCUUCUCCAUCUGUUACCUACCUUGGCAUAAUUCUUCAUGAAAACACACGGGCUCUCCCUGCAGAUUGUGUCCGACUGAUCUCUCAAACCCCAACACCUUCUACAAAACAACAACUCCUUUCCUUCCUAGGCAUGGUUGGAUACUUUCGCCUUUGGAUACCUGGUUUUGCCAUCCUAACAAAACCAUUAUAUAAACUCACAAAAGGAAACCUAGCUGACCCCAUAGAUCCUAAAUCCUUUCCCCACUCCUCUUUCCAUUCCUUGAAGACAGCUUUAGAGACUGCCCCCACACUAGCUCUCCCUGACUCAUCCUAACCCUUUUCAUUACACACAGCCGAAGUGCAGGGCUGUGCAGUCGGAAUUCUUACACAAGGACUGGGACCACGCCCUGUAGCCUUUUUGUCCAAACAACUUGACCUUAUUGUUUUAGGCUGGCUAUCAUGUCUCCAUGCAGCAGCUGCCACUGCCCUAAUACUUUUAGAGGCCCUCAAAAUCACAAACUAUGCUCAACUCACUGUCUACAGCUCUCAUAACUUCCAAAAUCUAUUUUCUUCCUCACACCUGAUGCAUAUAUUUUCUGUUCCCCAGCUCCUUCAGCUGUAUUCACUCUUUGCUGAGUCUCCCACAGUUACCACUGUUCCUGGCCCGGACUUCAAUCUGGCCUCCCACAUUAUUCCUGAUACCACACCUGACCCCCAUGACUGUAUCUCUCUGAUACAGUUGGCAUUCACUCCGUUUCCCCAUAUUUCCUUCUUUUCUGUUCCUCACCCUGAUCACACUUGGUAUAUUGAUGGCAGUUCCACCAGGCCUAAUUGCCACUAAUCAGCAAAGGCAGGCUAUGCUAUAGUAUCUUCCACAUCUAUCAUUGAGGAUACUGCUCUGCCCGCCUCCACUACCUCUCAGCAAGCCGAACUCAUUGCCUUAACUCGGGCCCUCACUCUUGCAAAGGGACUACACGUCAAUAUUUAUACUGACCCCAUAUCCUGCACCACCAUGCUGUUAUAUGGGCUGAAAGAGGUUUCCUUACUACGCAAGGGUCCUCCAUCAUUAAUGCCUCUUUAAUAAAAGCUCUUCUCAAGGCUGCUUUACUUGCAAAAGAAGCUGGAGUCAUAUACUGCAAGGGCCACCAAAAGGCAUCAGAACCCAUCGCUCAGGGCAAUGCUUAUGCUGAUAAGGUAGCUAAUGAAGCAGCUAGAAUUCCAACUUCUGUCCCUCAUGGCCAGUUUUUCUCCUUCUCAUCGGUCACUCCCACCUACUCCCCUGCUGAAACUUCCACCUAUCAAUCUCUUUCCACACAAGGCAAAUGGUUCUUAACCAAGGGAAAUAUCUCCUUCCAACCUCACAGAUCCAUUCUAUUCUGUCAUCAUUUCAUAACCUCUUCCAUGUAGGUUACAAGCCGCUAGCCUGUCUCUUAGAACCUCUCAUUUCCUUUCCAUCCUGGAAAUCUAUCCUCAAAGAAAUCACCUCUCAGUGUUCCAUCUGCUAUUCUACUACCCCUCAGGGAUUGUUCAGGCCCCCUCCCUUCCCUACACAUCAAGCUCGGGUCAAGCUCGGGGAUUUGCCCCUGCCCAGCACUGGCAAAUUGACUUUACUCACAUGCCCCGAGUCAGAAAACUAAAAUAACUCUUGGUCUGGGUAGACACUUUCACUGGAUGGGAAGAGGCCUUUCCCACAGGGUCUGAGAAGGCCACUGCAGUCAUUUCUUCCCUUCUGUCAGAUAUAAUUCCUCAGUUUGGCCUUCCCACCUCUAUACAGUCUAAUAACAGACCAGCCUUUAUUAGUCAAAUCACCCAAGCAGUUUCUCAGGCUCUUGGUAUUUAAUGGCGCCUGGUUUUACCUCAACUGCCACCCUUAAGUCUCUCUUUAUGUGGAUAGAAGAUCUUCAGUGGCAAGGUACCCUCUAGUACUUGCACCCUGAUGAAGUCCUGUUCUUUACUUUUAUAUUUACUCUUAUUCUCAUUCCCGUUCUUAUGCCAUCCUCUACCUCUCCCCAGCUAUCUCCACCACACUAUCAAUCUCACUCUCUCCUAGCCAUUUCUAAUCCUUCUUUAACAAACAGUUGCUGGCUUUGCAUUUCUCUUUCCUCCAAAAUCACCAAGGCCCUGACUUACUCACUGCUUAAAAAAAAGGGGGGGGGGACUCUGUAUAUUUUUAAAUGAAGGGUGUUGGUUUUACAUAAAUCAAUCUGGCCUGGUAUAUGACAACAUUAAAAAACUCAAGGAUAGACCCCAAAAACUUGCCAACCAAGCAAGUAAUUACGCUAACCCCCCUUGGACGCCCUUGGACUCUCUAAUUAGAUGUCCUGAGUCCCCCCAGUUCUUAGUCCUUUAAUACUUGUUUUUCUCCUUCUCUUAUUCAGACCUUGUGUCUUUCAUUUAGUUUCUCAAUUCAUACAAAACCGCAUCCAGGCCAUCACCAAUAAUUCUAUACUACAAAUGCUCCUAACAGCCCCACAAUGUCACCCCUUACCCCAAAAUCCUUCUUCAGUUAACUCUCUUCCACUGUAGGUUCCCACGCCACCCCAAUCCCGCUCGAAGCAGCCCAGAGAAACAUCGCCCAUUAUCUCUCCAUACCACCCCCAAAAAUUUUCACCACCCCAACACUUUACCACUAUUUUGUUUUAUUUUUCUUAUUAAUAUAAGAAGACAAGAAUGUCAGGCCUCUGAGCCCAAGCUAAGCCAUCAUAUCCCCAGUGACCUGCGCGUAUACAUCCAGAUGGCCUGAAGCAACUGAAGAUCCACAGAAGUGAAAAUAUCCUUAACUGAUGACAUUCCACCAUUGUGAUUUGUUUCUGCCCUACCCUAACUGAUCAAUGUUCUUUAUAAUCUCUCCGACCCUUAAGAAGUUUCUUUGUAAUUCUCCCCACCCUUGAGAAUGUACUUUGUGAGAUCCACCGCCUGCCCCCAAAACAUUGCUCUUAACUCCACUGCCUAUCCCAAAACCUAUAAGAACCAAUGAUAAUCCCACCACCCUUUGCUGACUCCUUUUUCGGACUCAGCCCGCCUGCACUCAGGUGAAAUAAACAGCCAUGUUGCUCACAGAAAGCCUGUUUGGUGAUCUCUUCACACGGACAUGUGAGACACUCGCUACCACACCCGACUAAUUUUUUGUAUUUUUAGUAGAGAGGGGGUUUCACAAUGUUGGGCAGGCUGGUCUUGAACUCCUGACCUCAGGUGAUCCACACGCUUUGGCCUCCCAAAGUGCUGGGAUUACAGGUGUGAGCCACCUCGCCCAGCCAGGAUAACUUUUUCUGUAAGAUGAAAGACAUCAUAAUGCAAGCCAUUUUGGAAAAUAUUUUGGGAUAAAAUGCUAGUAAUAUAUCUGACAAAAUAAAGAUAAUAUCCCUACCAUAAAAAUAAACCUUACAAAUUUAUUUUUAGAAAAGAUGAAGAGCUCGAUUGCUUAAUGGUCAAAGUAUAUGAAUAGGUAAUUAACAGAAGAGGAGAUGCAAAGGCUAACAAAUAUAUAAAAACCUUUUUAUCUUACUAGUUGUCAGGAAAGUAAAAAAUGAAUUAAUGAGAUACCAUUAUUUUCACCCAUCGGAUUGGCAAAAAGUAAAGACUGCGCAUAGAUGCUGAUGACUGCCCAUAAAAAGGGACCCACAACGCUGCUGUUAAGAGUUUGAGUGUGAGUCAAUACAACAUUUGGAGGAAGUAAUCUUUGUAAAAUUAUCGGUUGGGAUUAAUUACAAUUGAAAAUAGGCUGAGCACGGUGGCUCACACCUGUAAUCCCAGCACUUUGUGAGACUGAGGUGGGAGGAUCUCUUAAGGCCAAAAGUUCAGGACCAGCCUAGGCAACCUAGCAAGCUCCUAUUUCUACAAAAAAAUAAAAAUAAAAAUAAAUUGGCUGGGUAAGGUGCUGAGAGUUUGUAAUCCCAGCUACUUGGGAGACUGAAUCAGGAGAAUAGUUUAAACCCAGUGUCUCACACAUCCAUGUGAAGAGACCACCAAACAGGCUUUGUGUGAGCAACAAGGCUAUUUAUUUCACCUGGGUGCAUGUGGGCUGAGUCCAAAAAGAGAGUCAGCAAAGGGUGGUGGGAUUAUCAUUAGUUCUUACAGGUUUUGGGAUAGGCAGUGGAGUUAGGAGCAAUGUUUUGCAGGCAGGGGGUGGAUCUCGCAAAGUACAUUCUCAAGGGUUGGGAGAAUUACAAAGAACCUUCUUUUUUUUUUUUUUUUUUGAGAUGGAGUCUCGCUCUGUCGCCCAGGCUGGAGUGCAGUGGCACGAUCUUGGCUCACUGCAAGCUCCACCUCCCAGGUUCAUGCCAUUCUCCUGCCUCAGCCUCCCGAGUAGCUGGGACUACAGGCGCCCGCCACCACGCCUGGCUAAUUUUUCGCAUUUUUAGUAGAGAUGGGGUUUCACCGUGUUAGCCAGGAUGGUCCUGAUCUCCUGACCUCAUGAUCUGCCUGCCUCGGCCUCCCAAAGUGCUGGGAUUACAGGCGUGAGCCACCACGCCCAGCCACAGAGAACCUUCUUAAGGGUGGGGGAGAUUACAAAGUACAUUGAUCAGUUAGGGUGGGGCAGAAACAAAUAGCAAUGGUGGAAUGUCAUCAGUUAAGGCUAUUUUCACUUCUUUUGUGGAUCUUCACUUGCUUCAGGCCAUCUGGAUGUAUACGUGCAGGUCACAGGGGAUAUGAUGGCUUAGCUUGGGCUCAGAGGCCUGACACCCAGGAGUUCAAGGCUGCAGUGAGCCAAGAUCAUGCCACUGCACUCUAGCCUGGGUGACAGAGCAAGAUCCUGUCUCUUAAAAAUGAACGAACAAACAAAAAAUAAAACAAAAAACACAUAACCAACACAGGGAUCCCAGUUUGGAAUUUCAUUACAUUUCCAGGUGAAUCAUGAGCUACUUUUCAUACAAUACACAGAAAUUUAUUGCCUAUUCAGACAAUUUUCAGUGACAUUGGGAAUUGAGGGGAAAAAAAAGUGGUUGAUAAAUUCUAAGUAAAAAAUUAGUACUAUAGGCCUGAAUAACAGUGAUUUAAUCCAGGGUGAGGGAGGUUGUGGCAGUUGUGGGGUUGUGUGGUGUGGAAGAGAAUAGAUUGAGCAAAAGGACUAUAUACUAAGUGUUUUUCUAAUAUGGAGAUUGAUUGGGUUAAGAACACUCCCACUCUGAAGGCAAUUGUCAGUGACUGUUUUGAAUGUUGAAAAUAGGUAUUAAAUAAAAUCCUUUAUAUUGGAUUCUUAAAAACCGUGUUUUGUGGAAACCCAUAGAGAAUGUUAAAACAAUAUCUUGUUUUAGAAAAAGAUGGGGAAAUCCAUUACACCACCUCUGUCCUGUCAAAAACAGAUACCACCUAGAAUGAAGGCAAUCCUAGGGCUGAGACUAUGCUAGUAAGACCCCUGAAUCAAACCAUUAAGAUAAUCCAUUUUUAUUAACUGGAAUGACACCAGUUCCACAAGGUUUAUUCUCACAAACAUGGGCACUUUUACCAUUCCCUGGGGCUUCAGACUGAUAUGCCAGCAAGAAUCCAAUUUAAUUCCCCAUCAAUUAUGGUAUGUGAUGCAAAAACAUUGAGUUUCUGGGUGACUUGUAAAGACGGCAGUUAUUUCAUUUGUGUGCAUAUUUGGCUAAGCAAAUUUAGCUAAGAGCAAAAUAUCAAAUUAACUAAAUGAUGGGUGACAUAACUGAGCCAUGAUGCAUGAUGAAGAGAGCUUUAGAAAAUUAUUAUUCUGUAAUCCCAGCACUUUGGGAGGUGGAGGAAGGCAAAUCACUAGGUCAAGAGUUUGAGACCAGCCUGGCCAAUGUGGUGAAACCCCAUCUCUACUAAAAAUACAAAAAAUUAGCUGGGCAUGGUGGUGAGCACCUGUAAUACUAGCUAACUGGGAGGCUGAGUCUAGAGAAUCACUUGAAUCCAGGAGGCGGAGAUUGCAGUGAGACGAGAUCGCACCACUGCACUCCAGCUUGGACAACAGUGCAAGACUCCGUCUCAAAAAAAAAUUGUUAUUAUUCAGUUUCUUAGUGUUGGUGAAACUCAUAUAACCUACAGAUAAAAAUCAUGAAAGAGCUAAAUGCCAUCAGACCCUUCUAACCUCCUUUCCCCUACGUUAAUGGCUAUUUUAUAAUAAGACCAGACUCUUCAGCUGUAGCCUCAACACCAGAGCAUUAUUUGCUGAGGGGAGAUAGGAAACACCUAUAGAGAAAAAACAAUUCCGUGUAAGGAAGGAGAGUUUUCUGACCAUCAGCCUUGAAGUUAACUUACCCUUCUACAGCUAAGACAUCCAUGAACAUCCUCUCUCUGAAGUAAGGGAGGAGACUCACAGGUGCAACCAAGCAGAUUUGGAGAAGACUUUUGAGCCCCUUUGCAAAGGCAUUAGCAGAAAGCCCACAUCAGAGGUAGAUAAGUCUACAGCAUUUCCUGCUGUCGUAUAUGCUGCAUAGCAGAAAUUUUUAAAGUGUCCAAAGAAACCCUUUAAACUUGAUAUUUUGAGCAAUUCUGAGUAGAUACUAAGAAAGCUGUUUAGUGAAAAUAUCAGCUCUGAUCAAAGCAGUAAUUUCCAGUGAGACUGUAUGUAUGCCAGAAAAAAGCACUAGCUCCUUUUCAUUUAUUUCAGCUCUUGCUUCUUAGGUUCCAAACUGGGAUGACAUUGUCACCCACUAACCCAAGGCUGAAUGGGAGAUUAAUCCAUCUAAGAACAAGCAAGCCCUUACAGGGGCCAACUUAAAGGCUCUAACCAGAAUUUGUAUUACCAAGGGAGCAGCCCAUAGGAGGUAUAUGACCAGGCAAUGGCUCAGUUCUGACUCUUGGCAGGGCUAAGCAACUGUAAUUUGCAAUGUUUGGGGUCCAUGGAGAAAAGACAAGGGACUUCAGCAUAGACACAUGCUGUCCACUGCAUAACCCUGGGGGGUACCACUUACAUGUGACCAUAUGAUUGGCAUCUGGGAUAUUGAGCAAUGUCUCCAUUGGGAGAGAGGAGCAGAUUUGCAAAUUAUGGGGAGCAGAUAGAAAAAAAUGUCCUUUUUUAUAUAAGUUUUAUUCAAGAAAAUUAACUCUAGGAGAUAUUACUAUAAUCCUUAAUUUACAGAUGAAGAAACAAACACUGAAAGGUAUCAAGAAAAACUAGUCUUUGGAAGUUUAUCUUCCCUUUACCUAUCUACCCCCAAGUAGUCCCUUUUCUCAAUGCCCAAAAUGACUCUCCCUUCUCCAACUCAAGUGACACUCAACCUACACCUACCAUCCAGGGCCUUGGUACAACAUCUCAUAUUCUGUAUUUCAUUCUUCCUUCUAAAUGUCACCAGCCCUGCAUCCCAAUCCUGGUCUCCAGCUGCUUUCCAAGAUUGAUAGGUAAUUAUCUAAUUAGAAAAAAAUAUUCUACUUAAGUAUAAGUGGGUGAUAAUUAGGCUUUAAAAAAUUUGCUUAUCCUUUUCUACUUUAUCCUUCUCCCCAUCUUUUGUUCUCUUUUCUAGUGAAGUAAUUAAUCAACUCAAUGAAGAACAGAUGAAUGGAUGGAUGGAUAGAUAGAUAUAGAUAAAUUAUAUUAUUAAGUAAAUUGGGUCCCUCCAAAAUCCAUAUGUUGAAGCCCUAACCCCCAGUGUGAAUGUACAUGGAGAUGGGGCCUUUAGGAGGGUAAAUAAAGCUAAAUAAUGUUAUAAGGGUGAGGCCCUAAUCUGGGUGUCCUUAUAAGAAGAAGAGAAACCAAAAUGCACUGCAUGCUCUCUCUUUUUCCCUGCGUGCACAGAUAAGAGACUGGGAGGGGAGGCCUCACCGGAAACCAACCCUGACAGCACCUUAAUCUUGGAAUUCCAACCUCCAGAACUGUGACAAAAUUAAUUUGUUGUUUAAGCACCCAGUCUAUGGCAUUUAGUUAUGGCCACCAGAACAGAUGACUGCAGAUACUUUAUUGGACAUAUGACUAUUCUAGAUACUGUUUGUGAGUAGAAUGUACUGAGUGAAUCUUAUAUUGCUGCAAAUGCUGUAGUCAGAAGAGUGCUGGAUGGAAGUAAGAAAACUCAGGUACAAUCAAGUUCUAGCUCUGCCUCUUCCUGUAGGUGUGAAUAUGACAGUUACUUCACCCCUAUGAGCCUGAGCUCCUUUAUCUGUAAAAGGCUAGAUUCCUUCUCAAGGCCCUCACAGCUCGGGAAUUCUAAUGAUAAAUAUCCAGGCAAUGUCAGUGGGUAUAAAUUAUUACUCAUCAUGCAUUAUUAGUCUUCCUUAGAAAGAACUGUAGGUCUAGCACAUAAGAGUUGAAGUCCCACACAAUAGUAAGAAAAAUCAUGUAAGAGUUCCCUUAUUUCUAUACUUCUGUGCUUUAUAUACUUGGGAUACAUGUCAGUGUGCCAAGGAGAAAGAAAAACCCCAAUACAAAUAGGGCUUUUCUGCAAGAGGGUCAAUUUUUUUGUUUGUUUUUUGUUUUGUUUUGUUUUUUGAGACAGAGUCUCGCUCUAUUGCCCAGGCUGGAGUGCAGUGGGGCGAUCUCGGCUCACUGCAAGCUCCGCCUCCUGGGUUCACACCAUUCUCCUGCCUCAGCCUCCUAAGUAGCUAUGACUACAGGUACCAGCCACCACACCCAGCUAAUUUUUUGUAUUUUUAGUAGAGAUGGGGUUUCACUGUGGUCUCGAUCUCCUGACCUCGUGAUUCGCCCGCCUCGGCCUCCCAAAAUGCUGGGAUUACCGGCCUGAGCCACCACGCCCCACCAAGAGGGUCAAUUUUAUAAAGAUUUUGAGAGAGGAAAAUAUAAAGUAAGUACUGCAAAAUGUGAAUAAAAUGGUAAGUUAAAACAUGACAUUCUGAAAAAAGGUUUGGCUUCUGGUGGACAUCUUUGCUUAUCCAUUCAUUCUCUAUUAUUUACUUUCUCACUGGGGAUAUUUUAACAGAAAAAUGUAAAGUACUGCAACAGAUAAAUCUUAUAGGAGCUAAUUUGGAUAGAGUUUCAGAUUUAUUUGCAAAUAGACUGUAUUCACAAGUGGAUUCACAGAACAAAAUUAUUCUUUGGCCAUUCCCAAACAGGCAACUCUCAAAAGCAUAUAUUUAAUCAAAAGAAAGGCAGGAUGGGGAUUGUGGUCACCUCAGUGAGAACUGCAUAGAACUCGGAGCACAACUCUUCAGGAAGGCCAUUGUAGGGGUAUCUGUAGGAUUGAAGGUGCCUGUUUGCAUUUCCCUUUCUGGUUUCAUUUUGGUCUGGGUAAGACUGUCAAACAAGACCUACUGUUCCUUAGCCUGGCAAACGUGACUCAAACUAAGCCCAUUAAUCUUCCCCUCUGAGGAUAUGAAUGUUGAGAGGAGGGAGCUAACAAUGAAAAUAGUCGGAGGCGCUGCAUUCUGCCAAGAGGAGAGCCCUGAAGAAACUGAGGGUCUCUUCCAUGAUGUAUUUCUGCCUGGGGCCCUGGAGCAGCUUUGAUCCCUGUCCUUUCAAGAUCCUCAUCUUUUCCUUUGAUUCUGUGAGCUAUCCCAAGUCCUUUCAAUAACUUCUUUCAUGCUUAAGUCAGUUAGUCUGUUUUUAUUGCUUGCAACCAAAAGCCUGUAGUGUAUGCCAAUAGCACCAGCAUCACAUACAAAAAUUAUUUUUCAUAUUUGAUAAAAUCAGCUACUCUAUUUCCAGGAAGUUAUCCAUAUGAUGAUUCUAUUUAGCAUUAUGAUUUGCCAAGUGUGAUGGUUAAUAUUAAACAUCAACUUGAUUGGAUUGAGGGAUGCAAAGUAUUGUUCCUGGGUGUGUCUGUGAGGGUGUUGCCAAAGGAAAUUAACAUUUGAGUCAGUGGACUGGGAGAGGCAGACCUAACUUCAAUCUGGGUGGGCACCAUCUAGUCAGCUGCCAGCACAGCUAGAAUAAAGCAGGCAGAGGAAAGUGGAAAGCGCAGACUUGCUGAGUCUUCCAGCCUUCAUCUUUCUCCUGUGCUGGACGCUUCCUGCCCUUGAACGUCAGAACUCCAGGCUCUUCAGCUUUUGGACUCUUGGACUUACACUAGUGGUUUGCCAGGGGCUCUCAGGACUUUGGCCAUAGACUGAAGGCUGCACUGUCGGCUUCCCUACUUUUGAGGUUUUGGGGCUCAGACUGGCUUCCUUGCUCAUCAGCUUGCAGACAGCCUAUCAUGGGACUUUACCUUGUGAUCCUGUGAGUCAAUAAUCCUUAAUAAACUCCUCUUUAUAUAUACAUAUAUCCUAUUAGUCCUGUCCCUUUAGAGAACCCUCACUAAUACACCUAGGUUUCACUAUCAAGCACAAAUUACUUUUUUUCUCUUUUUUUCAUAAUUUAUUUUGAUAUAUUUAUUUUGUAUUAUACUUUAAGUUCUGGGAUACAUGUGCAGAACGUGCAGGUUACAUAGGUAUACAUGUGCCAUGGUGAUUUACUGCACCCAUCAACCCAUCACCUACAUUAGAUAUUUCUCCUAAUACUAUCCCUUCCCUUGCCCCCCACCCAUCGAUAGGCCCCAGUGUGUAAUGUCCCCCUCCCUGUGUCCAUGUGUUCUCAUUGUUCAGUUCCCACUUAUGAGUGAGAACAUGUGGUGUUUGGUUUUCUGUUCCUGUGUUAGUUUGCUGAAAAUGAUGGUUUCCAGCUUUACCCAUGUCCCUGUGAAGGACAUGAACUCAUCCUUUUUUACGGCUGCAUAGUAUCCCAUGGUGUACAUGUGCCACAUUUUCUUUAUCUAGUCUAUCAUUGAUGGGCAUUUGGGUUGGUUCCAAGUCUCCGAUAUUGUGAAUAGUGCUGCAAUAAAUAUUUGUGUGCAUGUGUCUUUAUAGUAGAAUGAUUUAUAAUCCUUUGGGUAUAUACCCAGUAAUGGGAUUGCUAGGUCAAAUGGUAUUUCUGAUUCUAGAUCCUUCAGGAAUUGCCACACUGUCUUCCACAAAGGUUGAAUUAAUUUACACUCACAGCAACAGUGUAAAAGUGUUCCUAUUUCUCCACAUCCUCUCCAGCAUCUGUUGUUUCCUUUUUAAUGAUCACCAUUCUAACUGGCAUGAGAUAGUACCUCAUGGCGGUUUUGAUGUGCAUUUCUCUAAUGACCAGUGAUGAUGAGCUUUUUUUUCAUAUGAUUAUUGGCCGCAUAAAUGUCUUCUUUUGAGAAGUGUCUGUUCAUAUCCUUUGCCCACUUUUUGACAGGGCUGUUUCCUUUUUUUCUGAUAAAUUUGUUUAAGUUCUUUGUAGAUUCUGGAUAUUAGCCCUUUGUGAAAUGGAUAGAUUGCAAAAAUGUUCUCCCAUUCUGUAGAUUGCCUGUUCUCUGAUGAAGUUUAUUUUGCUGGGCAGAAGUUCGUUAGUUUAAUUAUACCCUAUUUGUCAAUUUUGGCUUUUGUUUCCAUUGCUUUUGAUGUUUUAGACAUGAAGUCUUUGCCUAUACCUGUGUUCUGAAGGGUUGUGCCUAGGUUUUCUUCUAAGGUUUUUAUGGUUUUAAGUCUUAAGUUUAAGUCUUUAAUCCAUCUUCAGUUAAUUUUUGUAUAAGUUGUAAGGAAGGGGUCCAGUUUCAGUUUUCUGUAUAUGGCUGGCCAAUUUUCCCAACACCAUUUAUUAAAUAGGGAAUUCUUUCCCCAUUGCUUGUUUUUGUCAGGUUUGUCAAAGAUCAGAUGGUUGUAGAUGUGUGGUGGUAUUUCUGAGGCCUCUGUUCUCUUCCAUUAUUCUGUAUAACUGUUUUGAGUACCAGUACCAUGCUGUUUUUGUUACUGGAACCUUGUAGUAUAGUUUGAAGUCAGGUAGCAUGCUGCCUCCAGCUUUGUUCUUUUUACUUAGGAUUGUCUUGGCUAUACGGGCUCUUUUUUCAUUCCACAUGAAAUUUAAAGUAGUUUUUUCUAAUUCUGUGAAGAAAGUGAAUGGUAGCCUGAUGGGGAUAGCAUUGAAUCUGUAAAUUACUUUGGGCAGUAUGGCCAUUUUUAUGAUAUUGAUUCUUCCUAUCCAUGAGCAUGGAAUGUUUUUCCAUUUGUUUGUGUCCUGUCUUAUUUCCUUGAGCAGUGGUUUGUGGUCCUCCUUGAAGAGGUCCAUCACAUCCCUUGUAAGAUGUAUUCCUAGGUAUUUUAUUCUCUUUGUAGCAAUUGUGAAUGGGAGUUCGCUCAUGAUUUGGUUCUCUGUUUGUCUAUUAUUAGUGUGUAGGGAUGCUUGUGAUUUUUGCACAUUGAUUUUAUAUCCUCAGACUUUGCUGAAUUUCUUUUAUCAGUUUAAGGAGAUUUUGGACUGAGAUGAUGGGGUUUUCUAAAUACACAAUCAUGUCAUCUGCAAACAGAGACAAUUUGACUUCCUCUCUUCCUAUUUGAAUACCCUUCAUUUCUUUCUCUUGCCUGAUUGUGCUGGCCAGAACUUCCAAUACUAUGUUGAAUAGGAGUGGUGAGAAAGGACAUCCUUGUCUUGUGCAGGUUUUCAAAGGGAAUGCUUCCAAUUUUUGUCCAUUCAGUAUGAUAUUCACUGUGGUUUGUCAUAAAUAGCUCUUAUUAUUUUGAGAUACAUUCCAUCAAUACCUACUUUAUUGAGAGUUUUUAGCAUGAAGGGAUGUUGAAUUUUAUCGAAGACCUUUUCUGCAUCUAUUGAGAUAAACAUGGUUUUUGUCAUUGGUUCUGUUUUUGUGAUGGAUUACAUUUAUUGAUUUGCAUAUGUUGAACCAGUCUUGCGUCCCAGGGAUGAAGCUGACUUGAUUGUGGUGGAUAAGCUUUUUGAUGUGCUGCUGCAUUCGGUUUGCCAGUAUUUUAUUGAGAAUUUUUGCAUCGAUGUUCAUCAGGGAUAUUGGCUGAAAUUUUCUUUUGUUGUGUUUCUGCCAGGUUAUGGUAUCAGGAUGAUGCUGGCCUCAUAAAAUGAGUUAGGGAGGAGUCCCGCUUUUUCUGUUGUUUGGAAUAGUUUCAGAAGGAAUGGUAUCAGCUCCUCUUUGUAUCUCUGGUAAAAUUUGGCUGUAAAUCUGUCUGUUCCUGGGCUUUUUUGGUUGGUAAGCUAUUAACUACUGCCUCAAUUUCCAAACUUGUUAUUGAUCUAUUCAAGGAUUUGACUUCUUCCAGUUUAGACUUGGGAGGGUGUAUGUGUCCAGAAAUGUAUCAAUUUCUUCUAGAUUUUCUAGAGUAUUUGUGUAGAGGUGUUUAUAGUAUUUUCUGAUGGUAGUUUGUAUUUCUUUGGGAUCAUUGGUGAUAUCCCCUUUAUCAUUUUUUAUCGUAUCUAUUUGAUUCUUCUCUCUUUUCUUCUUUAUUAGUCUGGCUAGCGGUCUAGUUUGUUAAUCUUUUCAAAAAACCAGCCCCUGGAUUCAUUGAUUUUUUGAAGAGUUUUUUGUGUCUCUAUCUCCUUCAGUUCUGCUCUGAUCUUAGUUAUGUCUUCUCUUCUGCUAGCUUUUGAUUUUGUUUGCUCUUGCUUCUGUAGUUCUUUUAAUUGUAGGGUGUCAAUUUUAGAUCUUUCCUGCUUUCUCCUGUGGGCAUUAGUGCUAUAAAUUUUCCUUUAAACACUUCUUUAUCUGUGUCCCAGAGAUUCUGGUACGUUGUGUCUUUGUUCUGAUUGGUUUCAAAGAACUUAUUUAUUUCUGCCUUAAUUUCAUUAUUUACCAGUAGUCAUUCAGGACCAAGUUUUUCAGUUUCCAUGUAGUUCUGCAGUUUUGAGUGAGUUUCUUACUCCUGAGUUCUAAUUUGAUUGCACUGUAGUCUGAGGGACUGUUUGUUAUGAUUUCUGUUCAUUUGCAUUUGCUGAGGAAUGUUUUACUUCCAAUUAUGUGGUCAAUUUUAGAAUAAGUGCAAUGUGGUGCUGAGGAGAAUGUAUAUUUUCGCAUUGAUUUGGGGUGGAGAGUUCAGCAGAUGUCUAUUAGGUCCACUUGGUCCAGAGCUGAGUUCAAGUCCUGAAUAUCCUUGUUAAUUUUCUGUGUUGUUGAGCUAUCUAAUAUUGACAGUGGUGUGUUAAAGUCUCCCACUAUUAUUGUAUAGGAGUCUAAGUCUCUUUGUAGGUCUCUAAGAACUUGCUUUAUGAAUCUGUGUGCUCCUGUAUUGGGUGCAUUGAUCCAUUUACCAUUAUGUAAUGCCCUUGUCUUUUUUGAUCUUUGUUGGUUAAAAGUCUCUUUUCUCAGAGACUGGCAUUGCAACCUCUGCUUUUUGUUGUUGUUGUUGUUUCCAUUUGCUUGGUGAAUAUUCCUCCAUCCCUUUAUUUUGAGCCUAUGUGUGUCUUUGCAUGUGAGAUGGGUCUCCGGAAUACAGCACACUGAUAGGUCUUGACUCUUUAUCCAGUUUGCCAGUCUGUGCCUUUUAAUUGGGGCAUUUAGCCCAUCUCCAUUUGAGGAUAAUAUUAUUAUGUGUGAAUUUGAUCAUGACAUUAUGAUGCUAGCUGGUUAUUUUCCCCAUUUUUGAUCCAGUUUCUUCAUAGUGUUGAUGGUCUUUACAAUUUGGUAUGUUUUUGCAGUGGCUGGUACUGGUUGUUCCUUUCAAUAUUUAGUGCUUCCUUCAGGAGCUCUUGUAAGGUAGGCCUAGUGGUGACAAAAUCCCUCAGGAUUUGCUUGUCUGUAAAGGAUUUUAUUUCUCCUUCACUUAUGAAGCUUAGUUUGGCUGGAUAUGAAAUUCUGGGUUGAAAAUUCUUUAACGAUGUUGAAUAUUGGUCUUCACCCUUUUCUGACUUGUAGGGUUUCUGCAGAGAGAUCCACUCUUAGUCUGAUGGGCUUCCCUUUGUAGGUAACCCUAUUUUUAUCUCUGGCUGCCCUUAACAUUUUUUCCUUCAUUUCAACCUUGGUGAAUCUGAUGAUUCUGUGUCUUGGGGUUGCUCUUCUCAAGGAGUAUCUUAGUGGUGUUCUUUAUGUUUCCUGAAUUUGAAUGUUGACCUGUCUUGCUAGGUUUGGGUAGUUCUCCUAGAUAAUAUGCUGAAGUGUGUUUUCCAACUUGGUUCCAUUCUCCCCAUCACUUUCAUGUAUAUCAAUCAAUUGUAGGUUUGGUCUUUUCACAUAGUCCCAUAUUUCUUGAAGAUUUUGUUCAUUCCUUUUCAUUCUUUUUUCUCUAAUGUUGUCUUCAUGCUUCAUUUCAUUAAGUUGAUCUUCAAUCUCUGAUAUUCUUUCUUCCACUUGAUCGAUUCAGCUAUUGAUACUGUGUAUGCUUCAUGAAGUUCUUGUGCUGUGUUUUCAGCUCCAUCAGGUCAUUUAUGUUCUUCUCUAAGCUGGUUAUUCUAAUUAGCAAUUCCUCUAACCUUUUUUCAAGGUUCUUAGCUUCCUUGCAUUCGGUUAGAACAUGCUCCUUUAGCUUGGAGGAGUUUGUUAUUACCCACCUUCUGAGGCUUACUUCUGUCAAUCCAUCCAACUCAUUCUCCAUCCAGUUUUGUUUCCUUGUUGGCAAGGAGUUGGGAUCCUUUGGAGGAGAAGAGGCAUUCUGGUUUUUGGAGUUUGCAGGCUUUUUGCACUGGUUUUUCUUCAUCUUCAUGGAUUUAUCUACCUUUGUUCUUUGAUGUUGUUGACAUUCUGAUAGGGUUUUUGUGUACCUCCUUUUUGUUGAUGUUGAUGCUAUUCCUUUUUGUUUGUUAGUUUUCCUUCUAAUGGUCAGGCUUCUCUGCUGCAGGUCUGCUGGAGUUUGCUAGAGGUCCACUCCAGACGCUGUUUGCCUGGGUAUCACCAGCAGGGACUGCAGAACAGCAAAGAUUGCUGGCUGUUCCUUCCUCUGGUAGCUUCAUCCCAGAGGGGCACCCGCCAGAUGCCGGCCAGAGCUCUCCCUGCUGGGAGGUGUCUCCCAGUCAGGAAGCAUGGGGUCAGGGACCCACUUGGGGAGACAGUCUGUCCCAUAGCAGAACUUGAGCACUGUGCUGGGAGAUCUGCUGCUCUCUUCAGAGAUGGCAGGCAGGAACGUUUUAGUCUGCUGAAGCUGCACCCAUAGCUGCCUCUUCCCCCACAUGCUUUGUCCCAGGGAGAUGUGAGUUUUAUCUAUAAGUCCCUGACUGGGGCUGCUGCCUUUCUUUCAGAGAUCCCCUCCCCAGAGAGGAGGAAUCUAGAGAGGCAGUCUGGCUACAGCAACUUUGCCACUUUGAAUUUCCCUGGCAGCUUUGUUUACACCGUGAGGUGAAAACCACCUUCUCAAGCCUCAGUAAUGGGGGACGCCCCUCCCCCAACCAAGGUCCAGUGUCCCAGGUCGAUUUCAGACUGCUGUGCCAGCAAGUGAUAAUUUCAAGCCAGUGAAUCUUAGCUUGCUGGGUUUUGUAGGGGUGGGAUCAGCUGAGCUAGACCACUUGGCUCCCUGGCUUCAGCCCCCUUUCCAGGGAAGCAAAUGGUUCUGUCUCACUGGAGUUCCAGGAGCCACUGGUGUAUGAAAAAAAAAAAAAGAAACUCCUGCAGCUAGCUCAGUGUCUGUCCAAACAGCUGCCCAGUUUUGUGCUUGAACCCCAGGGCCCUGGUGGUGUAGGGAUUCCUGAGGGAAUCUCCCGGUCUGCAGGUUGCGAAGACUGUGGGAAGAGCAUAACAUCUGGGCCAGAAUGCACUGUCUUUCAUGGCACAGUCCCUCAUGGCUUCCCUUGGCUUGGGGAGGGAUUUCCCUAACCCUUUGUACUUCCUUGGUGAGGUGAUGCCCCACCCUCCUUUGGCUUGUCCUCUGUGGGCUACAUCCAGUGUCUAACCAGUCCCAAUGAGAUAAGCCAGGUACCUUGGUUGGAAAUGCAGAAAUCACCCACCUUCUAUAUUGAUCUCUCUGGGAGCUGCAGACUGGAGCUCUUCCUAUUCAGCCAUCUUGCUAGCCACACAAAUUACGUUUAAAAUGGAAGGAAUCUUACAUCUUCUUACCAUUGUUCUUUUCUGUUUUCUUCCCCCAUCUCAUCUUAACCCUCAUUCUUAAGACAUUCUUCAAACAAAAAUGAGAACCACUACAAAAGAGAGUCUUGCAUAUCUAAGUGUAUAGCACAUUUCUACUUAAGAGAUUGAACAUUAAGAAACACUUUCUAAACUGUGAGCAAAGUUCAUACUUAAUCUGUUUCAUAGUUAUAAUCAUCCAUCAUCCAUGUUGAUUCUGAUGCUGGAGGGGUCUUCAGGUUUUGAUUUCUUUUUGGUCUCUUUACUUUUCUCGGUCAGAUGAAAGUGAUGCUUACAUUGCCUCAUGAUCUCCUUGGAAGACAUCCAGCUCUCCCCAUGCUGUUCAGUUGGUGCUGCACAUUGUCCUCCCCUUACAUCUGUGCCCUUGGCCAUCAGGACUUCUCUCGCUUUUAAGAGACUGAAGGUGCAAUUCCAGGGAUUUCCAUCCAGGUACAGGUGCCUGAGGUGAGGCAGACCCUCUAAGGCUUUUAGGUCUAAGGCAGAGAUCUUAUUGUUCCUCAGGUUUAGAACAUGAAGCUGCUUGAGGUCCUUGAUCUCCCGUUCAGCAAUAUUCUGGAUGACAUUGCUUUUUAGGUCCAGCCUGGUUAAGGUCCCUGGGAGCCUGCAAAGCAUGGAAACAGGAUGUGAGAGGAGGCCAUGCCCAUCAUUCCACAACUGUCAGGGCAACAGUAACUGAGCAGCAUUGCCUUUUCGUACAGCUCUGUCUCUUCUCAAGCUAGGAAACAAGAUUUAUUUGAGAAAAUUAAUUAUAAGCACAAAUCUCAGUGUUAGUCUAUGGAUCUUUAACUUUUUCUCAUAGAUCUUAUGUUCUAACCCUCUGAUUUUUCUGGCUCCUAUUCAUAAAAUCUUUAGUUUUUUUUCUUGUGAAAUGAGAUCACUCAAACAAAUUGAUAAGAAAAACACUAAGUUCCCCAUUUCUAAGGUGGCAAAGGCCAUUAAUCAAUAAUUUACAGAAGCAGUAAAAAUGUCAAAUAAAAGUAUGAAAAAGUGUUGCUCUUCAUGAAUAUAAAAGGCAAAUGAAAAAACGCAAUAUUUUAAUAUAGCAAAUUAAAACAUGGCUUUAAUUUUAAAACACUGCUGCUGUAGGUAUAGUAAAUACUGUUGGUAGAAGUGUAAAUUGGUACCGUUUAGGAAACAAUUUAGUAAUAUGUAUCAAAUUUAAUUAAUAUCAUGCCUUUUGACCUAGGAAAUAAUAGAAAAAGUAAAUAUUGACAAAGAUGUUUGUCACAUAUUUGAUAUUUAUAACAGCAAAAAAAAGACUAAUGCUCAAUGAUUUUAAAUUCUGAGAUGAUGGACUAUUAUGUGGUUACAAAAAUCAUGGGUUUUGAUUUUUUUUUUUUAAUACAGGGUCUGUCUCUGUGGCCCAGGCUGGAGUGCAGUGGUGAGAUCUCGGCUCACUGCAACCUCUGGCUCACCAGCUCAAGUGAUCCUCCCACCUCAGCCUCCUGAGUAGCUGGGACCACAGGCACACACCACCACACCUGGCUAAUUUUUUCUAUUUUUGGUAGAGACAGGGUUUCAUCAUGUGGCCCAGGCUAGUCUGGAACUCCUGGACUCAAACAAUCCACCGACCUCAGCCUCCCAAAGUGCUGGGAUUACAGGUGUGAGUCACCGCACCUGGCCUGAUGUUUUAAAAUAAUUUUUUAAAUAACAGUUAUACGAAAAAGCUUUUGUAACUAUGACUAAAAAAAUCUAGAAGCUAUAAAAAAUUGAUAAAGCAUCAACAUUAAAAAGAAUUUUAAAAGAAAUUGUGUAUAGCAAAAGACAGGCAAAGUCAAAAGACAAAUGAUAAACUGGGGAUAAGCAUGAUGUCUGCACUUUAUAUCAAACAAAGAAUCUCCUUAAUAUACAAAAAGCCCUUAAAAUUGAGAAGAAAAGAUUAUAAAAUAAAACAGAAAAAUGGGCAAAAAACAAAUGGAAGUUCACAUAAAAAGCAAAGCAAAGGGCCCCCAACUCUUCAACUUUAUGCAGAACAGAGAAAUUAAAUUAAAGCUACACAGAGAUGCCACUUAACACUUAACAGAUUGGUAAAAAUUCUAAGCUUUAGCAAUCUGGUCUGCGAACAAAGCUGUGAAGAAACAGAUAUUCUCAUAUAUUGCUCAUGGGAGUCUAAAAUGGCACAGCCCGUAUGGAGAAAAAUUUAGCAAAACCUAACAAAAAAAAUACAUAUUUAUCCUUUAGACCAGCAAUCUCACUUCUAGGAAUACACCCUGAAGAUAUGACUUUACAAAUAUAAACAGUAUGUGUGGCAUUUAUUAUGAUAUUAUUUAUAACAGCAAAAGAUUGGAAGCAACCCAGUACAUUAGUAAAGAACUACUAUGCAGCCUUAAAAAAAAUAAAAUAAUAAAAAAAGAGGCUGGUCUCUAUGAAUUACCAUGAAGUGAUUUCCAGAAAGUAUUGUUAAAGAGAAAAAAAGCAAGAAACAGAGCAGUAUAUAUAGUACACUAGUUUUUGUGUAAGAAAAGGAGAAAUAAGAAUUACAUAUACACGUUUACUUAUUUGGGGCAACUGAAGGAGAAUGAUAAACCAGAAAUCAAUAAAAAUGGUUACAUAUAGGGAGUGGUUGGUUCCAUGUGAUUUUAACUUUUCAACCAUGUUAAUGUUUUACAUGUUCACAAAAACAAAAUCAAGUCCUAAAACUGAAAACAAACAGGAACAAGCAUAUCUAAUUAAUUAAUCCAAUGUUUAUAUUUGUAACAUAGUCGUACAGAGAAAAGAAAAAGUACUCUGACUGAACAACCUUAGUGGAUAUAUUUAAGCCUUAGAUUCCAAGGACAAAAAGAUCUCGAAAUUUCUCUUAGUAUGUUUAUUGUUAAUACUAAUUUUAAUAAUGAAAUUUUGAAAUUUUUUAUGAAUAUUAUCUGGCAAAACAAAUAAGUAAAUAUAUUCAUGUCAUUAGGAAACUAUACUUUCAUUGUAAGAGAAAAAGAUAAAAAUAUAAAAUAAAAUAAAGAAAACCCUCUCUGAUGUUAAAUAUGAAUUGAAAAUGUCAAUGUGAAUUCAUAAUUUUAAAAAAUAUAUUUUCUAGCUCUUGUUUGCUGAAAGGACCUAGAAACAAUAUUAUAUUCUAGUAGCAAUGCUACCCCAAUGACAUGAGCACACCAAGCACACAGAUCUUAGCUGCUGAAUUCCAAUCUUUACUGGAAAGAACCAGAGCUUCUUGGAGAAAUGACUGAUUCUGUGUCUAGGGAAAAAAAACCCGCAGAGUUUCUCAGCCAGAAUGUGAUAAAAUUUUUAAGGAUUAAUGGAACACCCAUUGGGAUGACUACUGUCAAAAUAAUGGAAAUAAAAAGUAUUGGCAAGGAUGUGGGGAAAUUAGAAGCCUUUUGCACUGUUGGUGGGAAUGUAAAAUGGUGCAGCUGCUGUGAAAAUAAUAAUUUUUUAUUUUUAAAAAACUAAAAAUAGAAUUAGCAUAUAGUUUAGCAAUUCCACUUCUGGCUAUAUAUCCAAAAGAACUUAAAGUCUUGAAGAGAUAUUUGUACCUCCAUGUUCAUAGCAGCAUUCUUCACAAUAGCCAAAGGUAUAAGCAACCCAAGUGUCCAUUUAUAGACAAAUAAAUAAACCAAAUGUGGUCUAUACAUACAAUGGAGUAUUAUUCACCCUUAAAAAGGAAGGAAAUUUUGACACAUGCUACAGCAUACAUAAACCUUGAGGAUAUUAUAUUAUGCUACAUGAAAGAAGCCAAUCACAAAGACAAAUACUAUAUGAGUCCACUUAUGUGAAAUAUCUAGAAUAGUCACAUUCAUAGAAACCUAAAGUUAGAAAGUAGAAUGGUGGUUGUCAGGGGCUAGAAGGAGGGGAAUACGGAGAGUUUUGUAAUAGGUAUAGAGUUGUAGUUUUGUAAGAUGAAAACUUCUGUAGGUUGGUUGCACAAGAAUGUGACCACACUUAACAUCACUGAAAUGUACACUUAAAGAUGAUAAAUUUUACCUUAUGUGUAUUUUACCACAACUAAAAAAAAAAAAAAAAAAGAUUAAUGGAGUCAUGUCUCAUGAACAGAGGAACUACCUUGGAGGGGCUCCCACUAGCCAUAUUUGUGACAAUUUGGGCACCAAAAGAGACUAGCAACUGUAAGUGAUCAAAACAUACCAAAUAAAUUAAAAUCCAUGGGUCCAUAGUGAUACUUGGGAAAAAAAACAGAAAAGGAGAAGAGAGAGAGAAAAAAAACAUUAUGUUAAGUGGAAAAAGUAGAAUACAAAAUUGAAUGAUCCCAAAUAUGUAAAAACAAAUUAUGUGCUUUUGUCUAGACAAAGGCUCUGGUUGAACAAUUCUGGAUGAUUUUUUAAUUUUUCAGCAUAUUAAGUUUUCAAACUUGAACAGCUAUUGCUUUAUAAUCAGGAAGAAAAUACAGGUUUUUUAAAACUGUGAAUGUCAAUUUGAAAAAUGUCAUGCUCAUGCCUGUUGAUUUAAAAAUAGGAAACAAUCACAAUGGUGAACGUGAAAAUCUUUUUCCUACACAGAAACUUUGUAGUAAGUGCUUUCCUUUUUAUGAAAUACAAAACAUCUGAAAGUUUAAUAGGGAAAAAAAGCCCUUCAAAUUGAAAUACCACCUGAAUGCUAUUUUCAUACAAAGUGAACAUACUGGAUAUAUAUUCAUGAAUUUUAGUAUUCAGUGUAGUUUAUUGUGGCAGUCCCAGUUAUAGAAGUGUUAUAUCAAAAAGAGAAAACAAAUAGGUUUAGCCAUAUUCUAUGCCAAUAUUAUCUUUUGCUUGUUAUAGUAUUGUUAUUACAUGUAUUUUAUCCCAAAAGGUCAGUAUUUUGGGUUUUUAGCACUUAGCCUACAUUUUGCCUUCGAGGUUUUCUUUUUUAAACUAAAUUUGUCAUUUUAUAUUUGUAAUCAUAUCCUAUACAGUAGUAUGUACACAUAAGUAUUUACGCUUUUUGAGUAAAAAUACUCAAUCAUUUAAAGUGUCUUCUUCCUAGAUAGAAUAAAUUUUACCUAAUAAAGUAGGUUAAUUUACCAGGGAAAAUCACUUUAUGCCUUCUAACAGUUUGAUAAUUAAAUUCAAUUCAAAGUUAAUGUCCAAGAAAAUAUAAUUUUGUGCACACAUCAGCUUAUCUAAGGUGAAUUUCUAAGUGGUAUACAGAAAAUCUCUUAUGUAUAGGUUCCCCCCUGCCAAGGAAAAAUAGAUUAUUGUUGGAUUGUGUAGUAGUAAGCAAGACUUUGUUCCCAUUGCAGAAGACAAUGAAGCCUAACUGGGAAAGAUCCACUAGAGUAAACAGGUGUCAAAAAGUCCCAAUGUAUUAAGACUUGUGUUCUAACUUAAGCCAUUCUGUUUACCACUGUGUGGUUUUAGGUAAGUCAUUUUGCUUCUUAAAGAUCCUAAUUUUCCACCCUACAGAUGAACCAUUCAGUACACAGAAGUCCCAUAACCAAUGUUAAGAGAAUGAAAAUGAGCAAGUCAAGUUUUCUAGGAAACAAAUACAAUUAUCCAGUUCUUGGAUAUGUAUCCAAAAAUUGUGCCUGUUCUUAGCUUGCCUUUUUUUUUUCCUGUCUUGUUUGUAUGGAAGUCAUCACCAAAAUGACAUUGUAAGAGAAAUCACUAUUUAUCCUGGUUUUGUGACUUUCUGACAGCCACUUAUUGCUUUGAUAUAAUUUGUCUUUAUAAGUCUGACUUAUAUUUUAAAGUAGCUCUGAUUUUAAAAUAAACAGUUUUCUAGAAAUGCUAUCAUGUUCUUUGGGUAGCUAUUGCUUUUUAGAGUAAAAAGGGUCACAGCCCAUUUUGCAGUAGAUAGCAGUUGGGUGUAAGAUAAAAUGCUAUGUGCAUUAGGUUGUAAGAAGCCAUUCUAGAUUUCAAUUAUCUGAAGAGUGGAUAAAAAGAGAUAAUUAAUUUAUAUUUAUUCACUAAGCUGCAAUUGAUGAAAUAUGAAGCAGCAACAAUUGAAGUCCAGUUCCUGGGCAUUUGAAGUAGUAUAGUUAUUUUAUUGACAGUAGAGUAAAUCCUAGAGGCAGGACUAUGCAGUGGCUAAACUUCCCUGGCUCUGGAGUUAAAACUACUGUGUUUAAAUUCUGACUAUGAAUUUAAACUAUGAAUAUGACUAUGAAGUUUCUGAAUACCUCUAAGCCAUAACACCCUAGUCUGUAAAUUAUUAGGUAAACCAGUGUACCUACCUUCACAGAAUUAUUGUAUGUUUCUAAGUUCACUGCUGAUUUUAGUAAGCAAUUAAUAAAUGUUAGGUAUUAUUUUCUAUCUCAAUUAGUGUAAUGAGGCAAAUGUAGUAGGUCUUUGAAUAUAUGUGUACCUAAAACCAUAUACUACUAUUUUCUUGAUGAAAUGUAGAAUGGAGGAUGGUAGGCAAAAGAAAAGAUAUGCCGAAAUAUCGUUGGUGAUAGAAGCAGGUUGCCUGUGUUAAUAGUUUACUUGUAGAAAACUGAAUUGUAUAUUAUAGAUACUGUGUAUGAAGAAGAAGUAUGCAAAUUUUUAAAAGUUGUAAUGUUUAAAGGCCAUAAGUAAAAAUUUUUAAAUUAAAAUAUAAGGAAUAGAUAUUAUGAUGUUUCAAGUUUUAACUUUUUUUUUGUUUGUUUUUUGAGACAGGGUCUUGCUUUUUCACCCAGGCUGGAGUGCAGAGGCACAAUCAUGGCUCACUGCAGCCUCAACCUCCAGGGCUCAAGCAAUUCUCCUACCUCAGCCUCCUGUGUAGCUGGGACCACAGGCAUGCACCACCACAUCCAACUAAUUUUUUUAAAAACUUUUGUAGAGAUGGGAUCUCACUAUGUUGCCCAGGCUAGUUUUGAACUCCUGGACUGAAGUGAUCUGCCUGCCUCAGCCUCCCAAAGUGCUGGGAUUACAGGCAUGAACUACUGUGCUCAACCAUGUUUUAACUUUUAGUGAGAGGAAAACCACAGGGAAAACUUACUGGGUCUUUCCCACUUCUCAAUCAAAACAAAAAAGAGCUGAGGAGUGGAGGCAGUGUUGAUAGGGGUAUUUCAAAGCAAAGAACUUUGCUAUCACAGCUGUCCAAGUACUUUGACAGAGCAGACAGUUGUGUUGCUUAAUUUAAGCAUCACAGGAAAAGCCCACUCCUACCUCAUGUUACUGGCCCCAUUGUCCUUGCAAAGUAGCUCUUGAUCCUAGCUGCACAUUAAAUUCAUCUGGGGAGGUUUUCAAAAGUAGUGAUGCCUGAGUCCAGGGGCAUCUGAUUUAAUUGGUUUGAAGUGAGGCCUAGGUAUAAGUAUGCUUUUUAAAAAUAUUUCUCCAUAUAAUUCUAAUGUGAAGCCAGAUUUGAGACCUAUGGCUAGCUCAUGCUUGCAAUUCCACUAUACAUUCCGUUGGGUAAAACAAUGUGCUUUCUGUAGUCACUUGUUAAAACACAAAUACUCUGACAAGAGUAAAUAAUUAAGCUACUUUUUCCACUCUUAAAACUUAGCAGGAUUACUCAACAAAAUUCUUUCUAAAAGUCACUUGAGUAGAAAAACCCACCAAGUUCACAAUAUUGCCCAUGGCUGUCAUAGCCUGCUGUCACAUCUAUUACAUUAUAUAGUUACUGUCUAACCUGUUGUAUGAGUUUUUAUUUUAUACACUAUUUUUUUUCCCUUGGAGUUGGGGCAGUCAGUAAUUAAAAAAUAAGGCUUGUGGCCAGGCGCGGUGGCUUACGCCUAUAAUUCCUGCACUUUGGAAGGCCAAGGCGGGAGGAUCACGAGGUCAGGAGAUGGAAACCAUCCUGGCUAACACGGUGAAACCCUGUAUCUACUAAAAAUACAAAAACAAAAUUAGCCAGGUGUGGUGGCAGGCGCCUGUAGUCCCAGCUACUCGGGAGGCUGAGGCAGGAGAAUGGUGUGAACGCAGGAGGCGGAACUUGCAGCCAGCCGAGAUCGAGCCACUGCACUCCAGCCUGGGCGACAGAGCGAGACUCCAUCUCAAAAUAAAUAAAUAAAUAAAUAAAUAAAUAAAUAAAUAAAUAAAUAAAUAAAUAAUAAGGCUUGUAACAUAGUCAAGAAGUUAUUUAAAUAAAAAGUAGUAGAAUCUUGAGACACCACAAGUGUGUUUUCGCCUUAGGGCCUUUGAAUUGGCUGUUCUCCUGUCUAGAAAACUUUCUCCCAAAUAGCUUCGCAGCUAAAUCCCUCACCUUCUUCCAGUCUUUGCUCAAAAGUUAUGUUUUCAUGAGGGUUACCUUUCUUACCUUAUUUAAAAUUGCAACCAGCCACCUCACCCACUACACUCUUGAACCUGAUAAUCAUGCCUUUUUUUGUUGUAAGCUAUAAUAGCUAAUAUAGUUUGAAUAUCAUAUAUUUUACUUAUGUAUUAUGUUUGUUAUCAGUCUUCCCCUGCUAGAUUUUAAACUGUAUACAAUAGGAAGUUUUAUCUCUUUUAUUACAUUGAUGUAUCCCAAGUGUCUGGUAAAAUACCUGGCACAUGGUAAGUGCUCAAAAGAUAUUGAUUAAAUUAAAGCAAUUGUAUAUUUAUGCUUAUGCAGUAAAAGAAAUCACUUACUUUGAAAUCACCUUCAAUAUAUAUUUUGAAAUACUGAUUUCUCUUGGAAACAUCACUUUUUGAUGUUUUACACUGAGUACAGUUACCAUACUAUAUAAUUUAAAAAUCCCCUUUUCAACUAGAAAAAAGAACAUCUCUACAUAUCAAAGAUAAUUUUCCCUUUUUUAUUGAUAAAAACUUAUUAUAGGCUGGGACUAUAAUUAGGGGCUCAUGCCUAUAAUCCCAGCACUUUGAGAGGCUGAGGUGGGAGGAUCACUUGCUCCCAGGAGUUUGAGACCAGCCUGGGCAGUAGCAAGAACUCAUCUCUAAAAAAAAAUUAUUUUAAUUAGCCAGACAUGGUGUAUGCCUGUAGUCUCAACUACUCAGGAGGCUGAGGGGAGAGGGCUGCGUUAACUCAGGAGGUUGAGGCUGCAGUGAACCAUCAUCACCCCACUGCACUCCAGCCUGGGUGACAGAGUGAGACCCUGUCUUAAAAAUAUAUAUAUUAUAAAACACAAUAAAAUUAGGUAAAUAGAAUACCACAGGAUUCUACAGAAACCACAAGUUAGUAUAUUAAUUAUGAGAAAUUUGAUAAUGCUAAUAGCCAGGGCAAGAAGCCUUUUAUUUUUUCAAUAAAGUGCUGAAAGGAAAAAAAGAAUCCACUGGUAGACAAACAUAGUAUCAUUUUAAAGAGAAUAAUAGUGAUUCAUCCUACAUUUUAAAAAUUUAUCUACUUUAAAAUGUGGAACAUAAAAUAAAGUUUAAAGAAAUAGGAUCAACUAAUACAAACACAUGUUGCAUUAAUUAUAAAUUAUGAGUAGUUAGGGGGAACAGGUGCAGCAGGUUGGGUAUAAACAGAGGGAUAUUCAGGAACAGAAAUUGUCUGAGUGUGAGGGCGUGCUUGUGUGUGUGUGUGUGUGUGUGAGAGAGAGAGAGAGAGAGAGAGAGAGAGGGAGACAGAGAGAGAGAGAGAAAACUGAAGAGAUAACCAAAACCAGAAGGUAAGACCAACCUGGUGGACUCACCCACUCAUACAGACAGACACACAGAGAAAUAACCAAAGCCAGCUUAAGCUCUUUAAAGGUCACAGCACUGAAAAGAAUAUGAGGCUCCCCAACAAGUAAUUCAAAAUAAAUACAAUAUUACAUUGUAAAGUUUUAAUUUUCCCCCAAUAACUACUACUUCAAUGCAUUUUAAAUUAUAAAUAUCUUACUAUAUUUUCCCCCUUAUUUUUUCCUGGUGUCCUUGUUUUGCUAAUAGCUAAGCUCAGGCCUACUGACUGUUGAUUAUCCAGGCAAUACACAGUAUGAAACUGAGACACAAUCUUUACAGUGUCUUCAUAUUAUGUUUGCUAAUAGAGAUAUCACCUGUUGGUGUCUUGUUGAAAGGUGAAGCUGGCUGGGCUUCUGGGUCUGGUGGGGACUUGGAGAACUUUUCUGUCUAGCUAAAGGAUUGUAAACCCACCAGUCAAAACUCUGUGUCUAGCUAAAGGUUUGUAAAUGCACCAAUCAGCACUCUGUAAAAACGCACCAAUUAGCACUCUGUGUCUAGCUAAAGGUUUGUAAGUGCACCAAUCAGCACUCUGUAAAAUGGACCAAUCAGCACUUUGUAAAAUGGACCAAUCAGCAGGACGUGGGUGGGACCAAAUAAGGAAAUAAAAGCUGGCCACCUUAGCCAGCAGCAGCAACCCGGUUGCGUCUCUUUCCUUGCUGUGGAAGCUUUGUUCUUUCGCUUGCAGUAAAUCUUGCUGCUGCUCACUCUUUGGGUCCACGCUACUUUUAUGAGCUGUAACACUCACUGCGAAGGUCUGCAGCUUCACUCUUGAAGUCAGCAAGACCACGAACCCACAAGAAGGAAGAAACUCCGGACACAUCUGAACAUCUGAAGGAACAAACUCCAGACGCACCAUCUUUAAGAGCUGUAACGCUCACUGUGAGGGUCUGCGGCUUUAUUCUUGAAGCCAGCGAGACCAAGAACUCACUGGAAGGAACCAGUUCUGGUCACAUUGUCCCAUAGACAAGAUAGAUAAAGUUAGUGCAGUAGUGAGUUUGAGGGCUGGAGAUUCCACACCUCUGUUUAAAACUUGUAUCCCUGAAUCCUUGUGUAGCCUUGAUCAGAUAAUUCACGUUUGCUCUAAGUCUCUUGCUUAUAUAAUGUGCUGAAUUGUCCAAAUCUUCAGAAAAUUUUUAUGGUAGCUACAAUAAAUGAAAACACUCACUCACCUUAGGGGUAUGGACAACAGCAGAUUCUGCUCCAGCGCCAGGUUGGAGAGCUGAGAACACCUCUGCAGGGCUCCAGCUUCGAAGAAACUCGCAUUGUUGUUGUCCAGAAUCAAAUGUUUCAAGUCUUGGAGGUCCUGGAAGUCUUGUGCUGUUACUCUCUGAAUCAGAUUAUUGCUACAAUCAAGUUUUUGUAGCUUUACUGGUAGUCUGAAGGGCAAUAUUUGGAGCUGGUUUUGGGACAGCUCAAGAGCAGUUAAAUUGGUAAGGAACUGUGCCCCAUUGAUGGAAGAGAGUAAGUUUUCUGACAGGUAAAGAUGGGAAAGAUUCUCCAAGUGUCUUGUGUCUCAAAACCUUACUAUUCUGAGGUGGUUUCUUUCCAUCUUUAAAGAUAGCAAGGAUUUGGGUAGAUUGAUAGGAACUUUAGUCAGAAAGUUACCACUGAAACUGAGAAAUUGCAAAGACUAUAGAAGAGUGAAGAAGCUAUUGUAUAAGAUGUAGCUUAUUAUUCUCCAGGCUCAUAUGUGUCAGAUGGGGAAGUAUCAGGGGUCCAGCUAUGGCCUCCACGUUGUUACCAUCCAACAUCAAACUUUGCAAACUGACAAGGGAGGAGAAAGUGCUGGGAGAGAGGGAAGAGAUCAGGUUGUUUUUAAGUUUGAGGAAUUUUAAUUUCUUAAGUCCUUCAAAAUCUGAUCCAUGUAGGACAUUUAUUGAGUUAUCAUUUAGUUUUAACACUUCAAGACUGGCUGGGAGAGCACUAGGGACUCAACUUAUUUUUCCAGAGUUCUAAGGUCUUCAAAGUACUCAGAGUUUUGAGGGUGUCAUUUUCUACUGACUCUGUUCCACUGGCCAGCAGAAUAGAAUCUUCUAAAGCCUACAUUCAGGUGAAGUCAGACAGCUACAAAAAAUGUGGAGGCAGGGAAGGGGAAGAAAAAGCAAUAAAUGAAUAUUGUUUAAGAAAUACCAGGUACACUGUCAUUACAAUACUAAUAAUACUUCAGAUUUUCCUUCAGAUUCUAUUUUAAAUUAUAUCUUGGAAAACGGUUGAAACUCAGAUCCUGAAUAUUUUUAUUUAUGAUUGAUAACAUCAGUGUAAGGUAUGAAAAAUAUUCUAAGCACUUUCACACAUCAUUGAUAGAGACAUAUUAUUGGCCAACUUUUACUGCAUAUUCUCUGACCCAGCAAAUUUACUUAUAGGCAGAGAUACUUAACAAAUUGCAAAAUGAUUCAUGCACUAGGAUGUUCUUUGUUGUAUCAUCUCAUAUUAGCCAUAAAUUGAAACAAUCUGGAAAUCUUUCACCAAAUUGUUAGUAGUUUCUAAAUCUAGAGGGUAAGAUUACAAAGGAUUUUCACUAGCUACAUUUUGCAUUGUUUAACAUUAUGAAUCACACGUUUUAAAAAGGCAUUAAAAAUUACAAAAAUGUAAGUGUCCCAGUCUGUUAUCACUAGGAUGCACUUAACUGAAAACACUUUCAACUAUAUUGUAUUUUGGAAAAUGAGCCUACCUGUUUUCUAUACCCAAUUUUCACUUCACCAAUGAAAAAACUUCAUAAAGAGACAAAUGUAUACAUGUUAUCUCCCUCCGUCUCUGCAGAGCAAAGAGUUCAUUCAUGCAUAUAUUCCAGACCUAAUGCCACCCUUCCUCUAGAAUUUAGAUAUUUCCCAAAACUGAUAUACUUUCUUCGUGUUUUGUAAAUUCUCCUGUCUCUCUACAUGCCUGUCAACCUCUGAGCUUAAUACCCAUGUCUUUUUCUGAAUGAUGUAAUGAUCUUUAUUUGGUGCUACGAGUAAGGUUAUGUUUAAGCAGAAAAAGGAAUUGUUCCAUGUUUUCUUCGGGUUGAUAAAUCUUCAAAAAAUUUUCAAUCUGCCUUAGAAUUCAAUGAAGCUGCAAUUUUCAGUAUACAAUUUCACGUGUCUUACUAUCCACAGUUUUUAAAUAUUUGACUUAAUUAUGCAGUUGAGCACUUUUAUAAUACCAGUACAUACCAGUACAUGAUUAACACCUUCAAAGUGAGUUUAUUUUGUAUCAUAUAUUUAUUAUAGGUACUUAUAUUCUUGGAGGAUAUGUGAUGUGAAUUAUCGUGUAUUUUUAAACAUCUCUAAUAUGUUACUCCAUUAGGAGACUCUCCAGUUAAAAUUUCCAUAAAUGAAUAUUUUUAAUCAUAAUGGUUUCGGCAGUUGCCUUGGGUUACAUAUUGCUGCUAACAUUUUAUAUUUUCUUAAUGAUUUAUCAGUUAUAUUGAAUAGUCCUAGUCCCAAUAAUGAUAGAGAUUUUAUUCUUGCAUUAAUUGAGUAUCUAAGAGUGCCACGUGCUUUUUUAUAUAUCACCAAUCCCCUAAUAACCCAGCAACUUUACUAUUAUCAACACUGGCUUCUAGAUGAGGAGACUAGGAGAACUAGAAUGUGAAAGAAUUCAGAAUUUCAGCAAGGUCUAUUGAACUGCAAACCCCUUUCUUCCUUAGCUACACCAUUUUCUAAAGCAUUUUCUAUUGCAUUUGGCCUGUAAUUAAUGUUUUUCAAAAGAGGCUCAAGAUCUAGACACAAAUCACAGAGCUUUAAAAAAGCAGAGAUUUUAGGGAUUAACUAAUCUAAAUCUCCCAUUUCAGGAAUAAAGAAUUUCAGGCCCAAGAAGUUAAAUAACCUGCUGAAGACUCAGUGUUCUUUACACUUCAUUCUGAAAUGCCUUUUUGUAGGCUUAUCUUUUAUAUAAAGUCAGAAAUGUCUCUAGACAUAUAUCUUUAUGUCUUGGACUGUUGAGAUCCGCCAAAAAGAACUGGGUAUUAUAUUUCAACUUAUAUCUGAGUGACAAUAAACAAAAAAUGAUUACUAACUAUGCAGUAAGUCUCAGAGAUGACAUGGAUCAGAAUGGGCAAUUUAUUUUGGGAAUGGACAAGGGAUGGUGUCAAAGCUUCAAUUUGUCUUGAUUUCUAUUUAUGAAGUAUACAGACUGAGCUAAAUAGACUUCAUAUUCUUAAAUCACUAUUAUUAAGCAUAGAAAGCAUUUUCUUCUUUUUUUUUUUGGUCAGGGUCAAUAGAGAUUACAUUUAAUUAUUAAUUAAAAUGGCUACAAUUUUAGAAAUAUUUACUAUAUUUAAUUUUUACAAAGCCCUAUGUAUAAGCAUAAUUAUUCCAUUUUCAGAGAGGGAAACUAAGGCUCAAGAAAGUGGAAUAACCUGUCCAAGUAUAUCCUUUUCUAGUGGAAAAGUUGGGCUACUAACCCAGGUUUAUCUUACCCCAGUGCAUAUAUUUUUAGCCUUACAGCUAUAACAUCCUUUAGCUGAAGAAAAUAGAAUUAUGGUGCCACAUAACAAUGAGGAAGACUCCUGCUGACUUUCAACUUUUCAGUUGGGUUUGCAGAGCUGACAAAGGGAAAAAAAUUAUGCCAGACCCAUUUUUCCAUUUCCAUGGCUUAAGCAGGGCUUCACACAAGAUAUGUGGAAAGAGAUGCUUUUGCCCUAGAGCUAACCUUGGGGCUACUGGCAGCUUUUCCAAUAUUGCUUAAAAAGCAAGGCCAGUAAAAUGAAGUAGAGCACAGGAUAGCUCCUGCUAGCUUCUCCAGGAAAGGCUUUGUUUCUGGUUUCAAUCCUAGGCAGACCCUGCUCCAAGUAGUAAAGGGAACACACCCUUUUCUGGCUCCUGAUAGAUCCAAUGUACAACGAAACUGACAUACACACAAAGCGAUGGUUUCAGACCUGUGUGAAACAAGCCAGGAAUGAGUUUGUAAAACAAUGUUGGAUUUUUUUCCUGAUCAUCAAACAACAUUUUUUCUCUACAAACAAUUUUUAAAUUCUGGAAAAUGUAGAGAGAAUAUAAAAUAACCCAUUAUCCCCCCAUUCAGUUUAUGUAUUGUUUAUGUAUUUCUUAGGAAGAAUUUGAAGAAGCUUCUUGUCUUCCACAAAAGAUGUAAAGUACUAUCAUUUUAACUGACUGCUACCAUAACUACAUUCCCAUUUGUCUUCUACCUCUGAAGAGAAUAUAUCACUUUGGCUUAUCCAUUUGAAUGGCAAUAGUGAAGUAAACUUAAUGAUUUUUUACACAUGUGGACACAAAGUACGAACCAAAACUACAAUCCUCUAAAUAGAAAUGACUUGGGUCACCUAGCAUAUUGUCCAUUUGGUAUCACAUGUAAUCAGCUAUUCGUUGUGUCUUUCACUCAACACAGUUAAGCAGUUCAUCAUGGCUUGAGACUGAAGUCCAAGUUAGUGAAUAGCAACAGAACAGGACAGAGGGGAACAAAAGAAUAAAGCUGAAUUCCUUUCUUAUGCCAUACCCAAAAAUUAACUCAAAAUGGAUCAUAGACCUAAAUGUACAAACUAAAACUGUAAAAAUCUUAGAAUAAAAUAUAGGCAUUACAUUUUCAUGAACUUGGAUUAGGUAAAGCUGGCUUAGAUAUGACACCAAAUGCAUGAGUGACAAAAGAAAAAUAGAUAAAUUAAGUCAGGUGUAAUAGCUCAAGCCUGUAAUCCCAGCACUCUGGAGGCCAAGGCAGGUAAAGAGCAGCUAGUAAAGAAAGAGCAGCUGAAUAUAUGGGGGUGCAGAAAGUUAGAGAGCAAGGUCUGGAGAGAAGUGUGAAGGAUAGAAUCAAGGGCCUUGAAUACAAGGAGAGACAUGUCCUCUCCGGAGAAAAGAGUUUGCAAAAGUGGAUGGAGACAAAUUUGUACACAGUGAGCAGGGACUGAGGGAGAUCAAGUUUUGUCAUGAUUUGUCAAUAAAAUGGGAGGCCAGCUAUUCAUUGAGAAUGAGGAUGGCAGGAAUUGAGUAUGCAACCCAACACUCUACCGAAGUUUUGGAAGAUAUUGAAUGAUUCUGUAAAUUCAAACCCAAUAAAUAGAAUGUACAUUGUAUUUACCAAAUGCAAGUGAGAUAUGGUCACUUAAAACCUAUGCAAGUGAGACAUGGUCACUUAAGACCUAAGUAUUUUUAAAAGAGAAGUAUCAUUGGUCAGAACUUUCAUCAACAAAAAGAGCUUUCCUUUUCCUUAACAAAACAAUCCUGUCUUUUAUUACGUUUCUGUUGUGAACAGUCCUUCCAAGAAAUAAUUACCUAGCUUAAAGUCAGGGAAGUGGCAAUGCUGCUAUUCAGUGAAACUAAACCAAUGACAAAUUGACUCAUCCAAUAACUGAAUUUAAUAAGGGGCAUAAUUUUAUCUUAUUGGCUACAAAGUACCAUUGUAUAAUCAUUACUAGGAUUAGUUCACCUUCUGCUCAAUAAGCAUGUCAAGUCCUCAGAGCAAAUAUUUAAGUAGCUUACCCUUUAACCAGGUGUCUUGCUUGAACAUUUACACUUAAUGGUGUCAGACUUGCUAUCUGGUGUUAGACACUACAGGGUUAGAAGAGGAAAGCAAACAGAUGGAGACAAGACAACUGUGUUUAUUGAGCCAGGAUCUAAAUACCAUGCCACAUAUUCAAAACUCUAUGUGUUUAUGGGACACUCAUAUGAACAUUUCUUAACCAAAUUAAAGGGAUGGUGUCUCUGUUUGAAGGUAAGGUACACUCACCUGCUGCCUCUCUGCACCUGGCUCACAGAGAGGCAUUUCUUUGUCUUAGGAUUUGGAUCUUUGAGGGAGAAGCAGUGAAUAGUAAAGGGAAAAUUAGAGAGCCAUAGAAUUUUCCAUCUGGAAGGGGCCUUCCAUCUGGAAGGGGCCUACAAAUAUUAAGGCAGCUGUUAUUUUCUUCUGAAGUUUAAGCUGUCUAGCUUCAGUUUGCAGGGCUUUAUGAAAGCACAGCUUAGUUGUCAGUGACUCUGAAUUAGGAAAAAUGGGAAAAAAGGUAAAAAAAUGAAAACAUUAUUUUAAAGUCUUCUAGCCAAGAAAAAUUAGAAUUUGAUCCAAACUGUAGAAAAUAAUAAAAAUUGAAAAGCAUUAGGCAAGACUAGAAUCUAACAACAGGUGUACUACAGUUUUUGGAACCUAAUUUUUCUCUCUCCCGUUUCCCAUUUUUACUAAAGAGAAACCAUAGUAGGACUAAUUUGCUUUAUUAUAUUUGGCCUAAUUAUUUGUAUACAGUGCAGCAAGAAUAAUUAAUUUGUACAUAACUUUUUUUUCUUUUGAAAUGCAGUCUCACACUGUCACCCAGGCUGGAGUGCAGUGGUGUGAUCUUGGCUCACCACAGCCUCCAUUUCCUGGGUUCAAGUGAUUCUCCUGCCUCAGCUUCCUAAGUAGCUGGGAUUACACCUGGCUAAUUUUUUUUUGUAUUUUUAGUAAAGACAGGGUUUCACCAUGUUGGCCAGGCUGGUGUUAAACUCCUGACCUCAAGUGAUCCACCCACCUCACCCUCCCAAAGUGCUGGGGUUAAGGGCAUGAGCCACCAUGCCUGGCCUACAUAGGCUCUUAAAUUGGUCUUGAUGGAACUUUAUUCCAUAGAAGGAAUAAGCCAAGCCCAGUCAUGUAUUUAUACCAUUAAAUACCUAUGAGUUGGGUGAAUUCCUCUCCUCUUGAGGUUCCAAGAUAAACCUGGGGUCCUGGACUUGUCAGAAAGUACAUUCCUUACUUACCACAGGUCAGGAACCCUGUACAGGAACUGUGUAGACAAAGGUAAGCAGACAGUUUUUCCAAGGAGUUUUAUUGGCUCAAUAAGUUUGAUUCCUAAAUGGAAAACACACCAUUCCAGUAAAAGCCUUGGUAAAAUAACCAGUUCUCCAACUGUGUCCUGUUACAAAUGAAAACAGAUUCUUAUUGCACUUAUGCUACUAAUUGUAUUGUCACAAGAUAAGAAUCCUCACAAAUAGUUUCCAUAUUCUGUAGAAAUAAGGUAGAGAGAAAAAAAUAUGCUCCAAAUUUUGUUCAUAGGAGUAUACUUUAUUCAAUUGUUAAAAUUUGUAAAUAGCUUACAAGUUGUUGACUCUGAAAAGCAAAACAAAGGAUCACCAAUGUUUUAAGCAAAACUUAAAAAGAUUACUUCAGCCUUCUACUAGUUUAGUCCAUGAAGUUAAUUCCUAUUCUGCUUGAUAUUCAUGAACAUUUCAGCUCUCCAUGGGUCCUGAAAGUUUUCCUCUAUUCUGAUGUCACAAUCUUGAAAGUUAUCAGAAACCUGCAUUCAAGAGCACCUGUUAGAGUUUAUAGAGGACUAUAAAACCAUCUUCUAAAGAGGACCAAAACAAGACAGUAAUUGUCCAUGGAUGGCAAAAAGUUUCAGGGCAGCCAUACUCAAAGACACAAUUGACAAGGAAAUUUGUUACCUCUUGUGGCACACAAUAAUUUAACAUAACAAUUAUAAUUAUUACUGAUAACAUACAUUAAGUCACAUCAAAAUUAUAGAAAUUCUCAUAAUUUUAGAAUACAUACGAAUAACAUAGUUAUACAAAUACAGCCCAAAGAAAAUCAAACACCAUUUUAUAUUUGACAAUGCUUCCUGUAUAAUUUUUAUACCAAAUAAGCCAAAUAUGUCAUCAAAUACAACCCAAAGAAAAUCAAACACCAUUUUAUAUUUGACAAUGCUUCCUGUGUAAUUUUUAUACCAAAUAAAUGAAAUAUGUUAUUUUUGGAGUUUAGGGAACUUAUUAAUAACAUCUUAAAGGAUUAAUUAGGUCAGAAAGAUACAAAAUUUAUAAUUUGAUUUUGGAAAGUUUGUCAAUUACCAAAGGUUUAAAACACUCGAUAUUACAAAAUAGGAUUACAGGUCAUUGUAAAAUAAGUCAUUCAUUUAACCAAAGUGAUAACUCAAGGAUUUUUUUAAAAAAAAGGCAAAAACAUUCAUUCUUUGAGAGAGACUAAUUUUCCAAACAAUAAGCCCUAAUAAAACAGCAUGAAGCCAAUUAAAUUUGUUUUCCAAAAUUUUAUAAACAAUCUAUAAAAUUUCAUCUUGAUUUUAAUUUAUAACUUCCAUAAGUCUUUAUAACCUUUGUAACCUUUAUUAAGGAGUCAUCUAAUGUUUUAUGAAAACCUUGUUAAUCUGACAUGGGGGCUCAUAUGCUGGUCUUGCAUCAGUGUGCCUUUGACAUUAAUGAUUAGUUUAUAGAGAAAUAACUUAUUUUAUCUCUCAAAAUUGGCCCUUACAAUCUCACAUGCCCCCCUCUUCCAUGAUUGUCCCUGGGCCUUGAGGAGUUGAAUAACUUUAAUUUCUGACCCUGUGUUUCAGGAACGCAGAUAAUUUUGAGGCUUUAAUGCAGUUAAUUAAAGAUGAGGCUUUAAUGCAGUUAAUUUUGAUUGGCAUCUUCUACCAGGUCUGAGAUGACAGGAAGAUUCAAGAAUCUAAUAACCUUAAUUAAUUUUUUUUAAAUCUCAGUUUUUCCUAAGCAAACCUAACUCAAUAAUCAUAGCAUAGGAAUUAUUUUGGUAAAAUGUAAAAUUCGUUAGGCCAGUUACUAAAAGGAAAAGAAAAGACCUUCUGUACUGCACAGAAUAUUAUGCUAGAAGAAAACAUGUCCUUGAGAUCUUUAAGAAAACGUUAGCAUCAGGCUACAAAAAAACAGAACCCAAAGAAGACUAUUUUGAAGCUAAAAUUUGAUUUUGGGAAGCCUAUUAAAUAUGUUAAAGGUUUAAAACACUUGAUAUUAUUAACUAGAAUUCCAGGUCACCCCAAGUUAUUCAUUUAGCCAAAAUGAUGACUCAAAAUUUUUUAAGAAGUCAAAACCUUUAGUCAUUAAUGGAGGGAAGACUUAGCUUUCCAAACAAUCUGUCUUUGUCUUUCCCUUCUUUUUCUUCUUUUUCUUUUUUUGUUAGUGUAUUUAAAAGGCAAACAACCUGUAAUCCCAGCACUCUGGGAGGCCGAGGCGGGCAGAUCACAAGGUCAGGAGACCGAGACCAUCCUGGCUAACACGGUGAAACCCCUUCUCCAAUAAAAAUACAAAAAAUUAGCUGGGCAUGGUGUCAGGUGCCUGUAGUCCCAGCUACUUGGGAGGCUGAGGCAGGAGAAUGGCGUGAACCUGGGAGGCAGAGCUUGCAGUGAGCCGAGAUCACGCUACUGCACUCCAACCUGGGUGACAGAGCGAGACUCCAUCUCAAAAAAAAAAAAGAAAAGGCAAACAAAUAUUUUUUAUUAUCUUUUAAUAUUACAUGAAAAUCUUGUUCAAGUGAGAAGGCCAAAUUUCACCCUUGCAUUAGUUGCUAUUAAUAUCAGCACCAAUUUUUAAUAAAAGGUCAUAGAUAAAUCUAUCCAAGCUUAAUCAGUUUGACCAUAAGGCAAGAUUUUUAUGAACCUUUUAUAACUCUUUACAAAUUUUUGUUAAACAGCAGAUUAGUGCUUUAAGAAAACCAUGUUUUGCUUUUAUUCAAUGUUCAAUUUAUGGAAAAACCGCAUAGUGCUCCUUUAAAUUUAGUUAAUAUGUUCACACAUAUCAUUUCUUUUACAAGGUUCAUUUUUACAAACCUUCCAAAACUCAUUUAGACCUUUAGCUUUAUCUUAUUUAAUUUAAAAUAGUCCUUUAACUCUCUAGACAAAAUUGUACAUUCCCUGCCUUCUUCUAGUCUCUUACCAAAAACACAUUUCAUUCUCCUCACACACCUUGCAUGUAAACCUAUUUUUUUAGUAGUCUUAAUUACAUGUUAUAAUGGUAAUUCUUAGCAACUUUCACUUUUGGUGCAUAAAUUUUCCUUUACAAAUCCCUUUGCAACUUAAAUAGAACAUCUAUGACAUACUUGGACUUUCUGACUUGUCCUAAACAUCCCUCCUUUUAAACAACCAUCAUUUUACUUUAGGACAUGAAUUUACCAUACAAUAUUAUUUCUUAUAUAAAACAUUUUUCUUUAUAACUGUCUUUGCAUAGCUAGGGGGUAAGGCUAAUAUCACAUAUCCCCAGGCCUUAUUUAGAAUUUAAUGCCUCCAAAAGAAAUUGAGUAAUUUCCAAAAGUCAAAGCAGUUUAUGGCCUUAAAGCAUUAAGCAAACCUAAUAUCUGACCUGCAUGAUUUAGACUAAAUGUAUUUAUUUUAUUAAUAAUCUUUAAAGCUGUGUUUAUUUCCCAAAGAUUACUAAAGUUACAUGAACUAAAAGUCAUUACAGUUUUUUUCUUCCAAAUAUUUUAUAUAAGCACUUUGAUUUAAGCCAGUUAAUUAGAGCUCUUAUAUAUAAACAUUACACACACAACACAUAUAUAACUACACAGACAGAAGAAGAUUACUACAGCAGUUGUAAGACUUUUCAUUUGCCAGUUUUAAAGUUUCUUAAUUGGAUUACUGGCUUUAGGGUGGAGUCCUUGAAAGAACAGGGCCAGGAAAGGGUCUCUGGUGUCUUCUGUUUUUCCCAAGGAGUCCCAGGCUCUUAGAGCUUCAAUAUUCACUUUUAAUUAAGCUGACUUUUAACCAUAGCACUCUUUAACAAAAUCCUUUUAAAAUUUCUUAUUACCUAACUUUAGCCAGGCCAAACAGCUGAUAUUUCUGGCUUUUAAACUUUACCAAAAGUAACCUCACAGGUGCUUUGAGAAAGGAAAAUUCAAGACAACUGGUGGAGGGGAAGAGAAUCAAAAAAUGGCCAAGUUCACCCAAAUAUCAACCAGAAAGGCUCAUCCCCUAAGCUAGGGAUUGAACCCUGAACUCAGGCCACCAUUGUGAAAAGAGAAAGCACGGCCACAUGGUUACAAGUUCAAUCUCCCAAGUACAUAACUGAACAUUUUGCUGGGCCAUCUUGAACAUCAGGCUUAUGGGGUUUUAGGCACGCAUUUUAUCCUAAGGUACCACUCUUUAUUACAGAACAAUAGAGAAAGACACACAAAGCACACCAGAUUCACUACAGCUUAAGACCAGCCUCAGAAUUUUUUCAUAUUAAUCAAAACUUUACAGAGGAGAUAAGCAGUAUCUUUUUACCCCUCAUUUAACCAGUUUGCACAGAGAAAAAGAGGGAGAAAAGCCAGAAAUCUGACUACCUAGGAAUUCUAACACUUUUGCCAGCAUACUAGGCUUCCCUAAGCAGCCCUAGUGACCUAGCUUGCUGCACCAUCAACCUAGGGGCCAAGCCGCAUAAAAAAGGAAAAUUAUCUUUUUUUUGUUCUGCCCAGAGCAAAAUAUGUGUGAUGAAACGUAGACAUUAGCCACUCUGCUUAACUCCCAAUAUCAAACUGUCAAGGCUUAAAUUUGCCCUCAGAUGAGACCCCCAUCAUCUUUAAUCCAACCUCUGACUAGGAAUUUCAACACGUGGUUUCUGGGCAAGAUGGUUGCCCUGUGUAACAGAAAAGAUAGGAAAGGAAAAGUAGAGAGAGAAAAGUAUUGCCUGUGGCAGGGUGGGGAAGGUGAAUAGCUCAAGGAGGCCAGAUAAAGACCUACCCACUGCAGUGACACUGAAAAGUUCAGGCAGCCACUUGUCAGUAGCAAAGGGAUCUUUUCCAGCAGUCCCAUCAGGUCUCAAGUUUCCCCUUUUGGGGAGGAAAAAGCUCCCCAUAUCCCAUGGUCCUGUAAAUGCCUUAUCCUGUCACCCAUAUCUGUCAGAAAAAAGUGUAAGACAGAUUAAUCCAAAGGGAAUAGCGGUUAACAUGCCAUAGUGCCAAACCCAUUCUUAGCCAAAAGGGACUUUACUGAGAGCCCUCAUUUUCAAAUGUACUUCAAUGAAUUGUUGUUCAUUUGGAAUGUUCUACAGUAAGUUACCUUUAGUAAGAUUUUGCCGUUUCUGUAAGACUUCACUGCCUUCUGGGCAUAAUGUAUAAGCUAGAAAGAACUCAGUUUUCCAGAAAUUAAGGAUCCCAUUUUUACCUAAAAUAUUGGCUUUAAUCUCAGGUUCUCUUGAUUGACUUAGCCAAUGAUUUUUCCUAAGCAUGCAAGCAAAAGGAAACAAAGGGGUAGAACACAAAAAUCCCCAUGAAUUUUCAAAAGCCAAAUUUUAUAACCCCUGCAAUAUUACUGCUUAAUACCAGUUCCUUUCUGACCAAGUCAGAUAUAUGGAGCCUCUAACUUAAUCCAAGCCAGUUAAUUCCUGGAUCAAAUCCAUUCCUGGACCCAGCCCAGAUUCUGUUGUGACUUAAACCCAGUUUGGAUCAGAAAGUUGCUUGAAGAAACUCAGAGGGCAAAAAGCACAAAUCCAUGGAGCUCUGAAAUCUGAGAGAGAGGGAGCUUACCCAUCAUCCCCAGCUGCUCUGAGAGAUUAAUGGACAAAAGUGGGUCCUGCAGGUACCUUGUUUGUUCACUCAAUGCUCCUAGGGCUUGCUAGAAGCUCUACUUUGGAUCCCACUUCUGAUACCGUCUGAUAACAGAAAAACUUCAGCCAAAAUAAAUUUAAAGGAGUUUAAUUGAGCAAUGAGAGAUUCAUGGAUCAGGCAGCCCCCAGAAUCACAGCAGAUUUAGAGACUCCAGCACAGCAACAUGGUGGAAGAUUUAUAGACAAAAAUGGGAAAUGACAUACAGAAAUCAGAAGUGAGGUACAGAAUGGCUGGAUUGGUUACAGGUUGGCAUUUGCCUUAUUUGAACACAGUUUGAAUACUCAGCACUGUAUGAAUUGUUGAAGUAUGGCUACUGGGACUGGCUAAGACUCAGCUAUUGUUACAGGCACAUACUCCUAAGUUAGGUUUUCAAUAUUGUCUACCUAUUAAACUAGGUUGCAGUUCGUCCACAUGGCCUCAUAUAUAGAAGUACAGAGUCCCUUCUCAGGCCAUAUUUAGUUCGCUUUAACAGGAGAAACUUAGUUUACAGUUCAGCUUUGAAACAAACACAAUAACAGUUUUUUCCCAAAACAAACCUUACAAUUGUUUGAAAUGCUUGUUCCCCGGUGCUGUAAAGAAAUAGCACUUGAACAUAAAUUUAAUUUACUCAGCAAGGCCAUUUUUAUACUUUCUGUAGAAAGGAUACACUCGCUAGCAGUUUUGCCAAGACAGCACAAGGAACAAAGGAGACAGGGUUAUUUAUAACCUGACGUGUCCACCCUACCACUCUGUCCAGUUUCCACUGGCUAGAACGGGACCUUACAUUCUGUAUUUGUCCUGAUUGGCUAGCAACUUAGAACUUUUUAAAAGAAGUAAAGGUAGAUGAGAACAAAGGAAGGAGGAAGUAACUUGUGGAAUACUGAGAAAGGUAAAAACACCUUCAAAUAAGGAAGAGGAAUAGGCUGUGACCUAAUGCUUGCUUGGACCAGUAUAAGCAUGCUAGGGCAAAUAUUUAGGCUAAAUUGUGGGAGCUAAGAACAUAAAGUGUAUUGAUUUCUUUAUCAUGGCUAGCAGAUAUUUAAGAAUGUUAGCACAGGUCUUUGAAUACAUUUUGCGUCUAACCGAGAAGUUACUAUUUAUUCCUAAUUAAAUGGGGAGGAAAGUCUUUGAAGAGGAACCUCUAUUUACUUUUUACAAUUCCCCCUUUUUAUUUUAUAAUUCCUCUUCAAACUUCUUUAAUAUGUUUUGACUUAAUUGCUUUGUUUGUCCUUCUAAGAGAAGUAAUUUUUCCAAAUAGGGUGGAGGAGAGUUAGGAGUUAACUCUGUAAGAGUGGUAGAGACAAGUUUUUGUAUAAAACUUUGAAGGCAGUGAAUAAUAUAACAGCCUACAAGAAUAAGUACACCAAUAACAAGAACAAACAAGGUGAGAAUUGAUGUUAAAAUUUUAUUUUAUCCACUGAACCAAUGUUUCAUCAUUUUAGAAAAAGGGUUAUUUAUUUUAGACUUUUUGGCAAGUUUAUCAGAUAGGGCUGUUAAUCCUUGUAGCGCUUUUGUCAUAGUUCCGUCGGGGCAGUAUUAUUAGGAACAAAGGUACAACAUUGAGUUUUAAUUAUGACACAAACAACUUUUUUUGCUAAUGUUAUAUUUAAAGCUAUUCUAUUUUUCUAGGCCAUCUGAUUUCUAGGUCCUAAUUGCUUAGCUAUCUCUUUGAUGGCAUCCCCAGUGUAAUUUAUGAAUCAUUGCUGAUUGUAAUAGAUAUAGUUUAUGUAGUCUAAUUUUUUUUUAUUUACCUACCGGAACAACGUGGAUUUAAAUUCUGCAGCUAUUUGAUUUUGUGCUUUAAACUUAUUUGGCAUUCUCACAGGACCUUAAUAGCAUUCAUGUAAACCUGAGGAUUAAAGGAUUCAUAAGGAGUUUCCUUUGGCCUGCAGUGUUUUGUUUUUACCUUUUCAGAUUGAUGAAAUGCCAGGGUGAAGGGGAUAGCCAAUUGGAUUAGAGCCCAAGUACUCCUCCAAUUAUUUGGCAAGGUGUCCAGUAAAGGUCCUCCACAGUACCACCAUACAUUUGCUUGGGGAUGGCUAAGCAUGGAUGGAUGGGCAAGCUCUUGGAAAGGCUUGAGCUCCUUGCAUCCUUUUAUGCUUCCAAGGAACACCAAAUUUUCCCCCUCCCAUGAGAUGCAUGAAGUAAACUUGGCAUUUAGAGGUGGAAGCUGGAUUGCCCUCAGGGGCUGACCUGCAGGGUGUUGAAUUUCAGGAAAUUGCAGAGAGAGCUCAGCAUGAUGGAUUAUCCCAAGCAGUGGGAUUCUGAAAAAGACCCACCAUACAGUCCAUAUCUGGUUGACGAGGAGACCAUCUGAGUGGAAAGGGGAUAAUCUGGGCCUCUGGCCUACCAUGCGUACAAGCGUAAUAAUCGCUUUUAUUUAAAGUGUGAACAGAGUAUUUAAUCCAUUCCAACCAGGCAUUUGCAUCUUGAUAUUUUGUCUUGAUGGCUAAGGUCUCUCUUAGCUCUAUUAUUUUUACAAUAGGCACCCUAGUUUUAUUAGAUGUAGGAGCACCCGGUGUGGGAUCUAGAACUGAGGCUACUGAAGAAGGGAAGAUGGGGGAAUAAUGCAUAUUUUAAAAAUACCUAGGGGGUCUUUUCCAUUUAUGUCAAUCCCCAUACCAUAGAAGUGACUAAGGGCAGGUCUAGAGUUAGUUAAGGUAGAGGUGGUGAUACAGAGAAGGACAGGGUUACACUGAUACGGCUGACAGUCACAAGGGGUAGCCGUUUUAGUGAAAUAGAUGAGGGGUUUUAGAUCUGCACAAAUCUUUUUCGUGGAAGUCCAACUUUGCUCCUGAGUAGUUUAAAGGAUGGAGUCCCAUUUACUACAAGGUUGCCAGGCCGUAGGAGCAGAAAAUCAGCAUCUUGGCUUUAGGUCAUUACAACAAUGAGUGCUAGGGGAAACUGUGUCAAUUAGAGGGCUGGGACAUAAAUAUUUGUGUAAAAAGGCUAGCUGUUAUUGAUCUUUUACAUUUCCACAAGGUAUGACAGAGCAAGCAUUAAAGGCAAUGGUCUAAGGUGUGUCAGACUUAGUUAUAUUAAUAACAAAGGAACUAGUGACAGAAUAAGGAAAGGAAAGGAAGCAAUAUAGAAGGUAUAUGAAAGUUAAGCUUUCUUUAACUUAGGGCCUGAUCCUAGUACAGUAAUGCAUGAUUCUGAGAGGAGGAUGUUUUCUUGACUUGAGUAUGUUGGGUCCAUUUUUCUCUUGGCUGUGUGGACGGCAGUCUCAGUGGUUAACAGCAUAAAAUAGGGUUCUUCCCAGGGUGGCUUGAGGUUUUUCUAUGUUUUGAUAAGGACUUGGUUUUCAGGCUGGUGCUUGUGUGCUGGAUUUCUAGGGGUGGUACCUGUACUAAAAGACUUUUAGUUCCAAGGGAAGGGAAAGUGGAAGAUAAAUUAAGUAUAUAAUUUCUGCUGCAUAUCCUGGGGCUUGAGGCCCCAUGGUGAUGCCUCCCACUCCAUUCCUGCUCAGCACCACCCAGGGCAUGCUGCAGCCCUGCUCCCUUUUAAUGUCUUGGCCUUCUUGUGGCCUUCACCGCCCCUGCACACUGUGGCCUUGGGGUUGAGGGGCCUUGUGACUUACCUGGCUGCCUUUUGGGACUUAAGAAAGCUAAACACCAGGCUGGGUGCGGUGGCCCACACCUGUAAUCCCAGCACUUUGGGAGGCUGAGGCGGGCGGAUCACGAGGUCAGGAUAUCAAGACCAUACUGGCUAACACAGUGAAACCCCAUCUCUAAUAAAAAAAAAAAAAAAAAAAAAAAAGCCAGGCAUGGUGGCAGGCACCUGUAGUUCCAGCUACUCAGGAGGCUAAGGCAGGAGAAUGGUGGGAACCCAGGAGGUGGAGCUUGCAGUGAGCCGAGAUCACACCACUGCACUCCAGUCUGGACGACAGAGUAAGAUUCUGUCUCAAAAAAAAAAAAAAAGAAAGAAGGAAAGCUAAACACCACUUUAUAUUUGACAAUGUUUUUUGUAUGAUUUUAUACCAGAUAAGUUAAAUUUUACCUUUAUAUUAAUGUGCUAUUAAUGUGAAACUUAAUUUUUAUAAAAUCUUAUUGUCAUUAUUUCCACUUUUAAUGUCUGACUAUAAGGUAAGACUUUUAUAGACUCUUUUUAACUUUUUAUAAUUUUUGUUAAAGAGCAGGUUAGUGCUUUAAGAAAAAUUUACUGUGCUUUUAUGUUAAUGUCCAGUUCACAGAAAAACUGGAUGAUACCCCUUUAGCUUUAGCCAAUAUGUUUACACAAAGAAUUUCCUUUACAAUUAACAUUUUAAAACUUGUUUAAACCUUUAAAACAAAAUUUUUUAAACCUUUUAAUGUAGGUAAAAAUCCAUAUUCUUAUGCCUCCUUAUAAUCCUGUUAUUAAAAGUAUAUUUUAUCUUUCUUACAUACCUUGUACAUAAUCUGGGUUUUUAAAAAUAAUUUUACAUCCAAGAGGCCUAAUUAUUUAAAUUAUACAAUAUUUCUUGCAUAAAUUCCCUUUUAUAGCAUUUCUUAUGACUUUCACAGACAAUCUUCAACAUGUCUUAACUUUCUGCCUUCCUUUUACAUUAUUUCUUUUCCUAGUUUCACCCUCUGUGUCUUCCUUUGAUUUCUGUCUCCUCCAGUUUCUCUCUUUCUUACUCUUUCCCUUGAUUUCUCUAUCAUUUGCACUCUAUUUUCCUCUCUCUCUGUGUCAUCCCGUUUCCCUUUCCCCUCCCGAGUUCUCCCACUCCUGCCACCAGCGGGGCCAGGCCACAGCAUGGGCCCCACCCCUGUGCACAUGCUGCCAUCUAUUUCUCCUAUUUUUUUUUCUCCCAAUUCCCCUUUUUGCUUUUUUCCUUUCUUCUUACUUAGUUUCUCGGGGUGGGUGGGAUUUGCGCAGCUGCAGUCCGGGCCCCGGGCAGUCACCAGCCCAGAGGCUUGGCAGAUGCCUGCCACAAAUUGCAAGAAUUAUGCCCCUUUCACCUCCUCUGCUCUCCCCCUGGCACUGGUCCCUGCCCUCUUUUUCACAUAGAGCCAGGCUGGGGAGUGGGACCUAACUCUUGGCAUGCCUGCCUUGCUGUUUGGUGCUGUGCUUGCUGUUUUUGCUUUCUUUCUCUCUGAAUUCCUCUCCUAGUUUCUUUUUCCUCUCUGCUGGUCUUUCCUUUGUCUUUGCCAGUGACCUGUGCUGCUGUUUUCCCCUCUCUUUCCCCUUCCCCUAGGGGAGGGACCAGCGGGAGUGGAGCUACUGUUUCUUCCCCUAAAGGGAAAGAAAAGGGGGUUCUGAAUAUUUUUCUUACUACGGGAGGUUUGUGUGAGGUUCAACCCCACUCAUGGGGAUUUCUCACCUCUUUCUUAUGUUCAACCCCCCCCAUGGGGAUUUCUCACCUCUUUCUAAGGUUCAAACCCUCUCGUGGGGAUUUCUCACCUCUUUCUGAGGUUCAAAGCCCCUCAUGGGGAUUUCUCACCUCUUUCUGAGCUUCAACCCCCCCUUCCCAUGGGGAUUUCUCACCUCUUUCUGAGGUUCAAAGCCCCUCAUGGGGAUUUCUCACCUCUUUCUGAGGCUCAACCCCCACCCCCCAUGGGGAUUUCUCACCUCUUUCUGAGGCUCAACACCCCCCCAUGGGGAUUUCUCACCUCUUUCUGAGGCUCAACCCCCCCCCCCCCCCCGUGGGGAUUUCUCACCUCUUUCUGAGGCUCAAACCCCCUCGUGGGGAUUUCUCACGUCUUUCUGAGUUUCAAAUGCCCGUCAUGGGGAUUUCUCACCUCUUUCUGAGGUUCAACCCCCCCCAUGGGGAUUUCUCACCUCUUUCUGAGGUUCAACCCCCACCAUGGCGAUUUCUCACCUCUUUCUGAGGCUCAACUCCCCCUCAUGGGGACUUCUGACCUCUUUCUGAGGCUCAACUCCCUGCCAUGGGGAUGUCUCACCUCCUUCUGAGGUUCAACCCCCCCUCAUGGGGACUUCUCACCUCUUUCUGAGGUUCCAUCCCCCCUCAUGGGGAUUUCUCACCUCUUUCUGAGGUUCAACCCCCCCUCAUGGGGAUUUCUCACCUCUUUCUGAGGUUCAACCCCUCCACGUGGCUUUCUCACCUCUUUCUGAGGUUCAACCCCCCACAUUGGGAUUCCUCACCUGUUUCUGAGGUUCAGCGCCCCCCACCAUGGGGAUUUCUCACUUUUUUCUGAGGUUUAACUCCCCCAUCCUGCCCACCUCAUGGGGAUUUCUCACCUGUUUCUGAAGUUCAGCCCCCCCAUGGGGAUUUCUCACCUCUUUCUGAGGUUCAAGCCCCGCCCCCAUGGGUAUUUCUCACCUCUUUUUAACCUGCAAGACAUCCCGACUAAGGAAUACUUCACGGCCCUGCUGCGGCUUUCUUUCCCUAGUCCCAACUAAGGAAUGCUUACCGCCCCUGUGGUUUCUCUCUCCUUGGUAUGUCCUAACCAAGGAAUGCUUUACAGUCCUGUGGCUUUUUCCUUAGUCCCGACCACCAAGGAAAUACUUUACUGGCCCCUGCGGCUUCUCCUUCCUUGGUCUGUGCAUGGAGUUGUCACCACGGUAUGUGGCUACCUUGCUGGCCAGUUUCUUUCUUUUCUUUUCUCUGCGUUGCUGAGAGUCCGAGUUUAUUCGUCACACUGGGUGGGUCUCAAUUUCUCAUCCCUGAGGCCACCGCAGUGAGGCAGAAGAGCACACUCCCUCAGGAGAGAGGACUGGAGACCGCCCCUGGAGAAGAAUACAUCCCCAUAUGGAUUGCCACCGAAUUGUUUGAAAUGCUUGUUCCCCAGUGCCAUAAAGAAAUAGCACUUGAACAUAAAUUUAAUUUACUCAGCAAGGCCAUUUUUAUACUUUCUGUAGAAAUGAUACACUCACCAGCAGUUUUGCCAUGAGAGCACACCGAACAAAGGAGACAGGGUUAUUUAUAACCUGACAUGUCCAUCCUACUGCUGUGUCCAGUUUCCACUGGCUGGAAUGGGACCUUACAUUCUGUAUUUGUCCCGACUGGUUAGCAACUUAGAACUUUUUAAAAGAGGCAAAGGUAGAGGGGAACAAAGGAAGGAAGAAGUAACUUGUGGAAUGCUGAGAAAGGUAAAAACAGCUUCAAAUAAGGAAGAGGAAUAUGCUAUGACCUAAUGCUUGCUUGGACCAGUAUAAGUAUGUCAGGGCAAAUAUUUAGGCUAAAUUGUGGGAGCUAAGAGCAUAAAGUGCAUUGAUUUCUUUAUCACAGCUAGCAGAUAUUUAAGAAUGUUAGCACAGGUCUUUGAAUAAAUUUUGCUUCUAAGAGAAGUUACUAUUUAUUCCUAAUUAAAUGGGGAGGAAAGUCUUUGAAGAGGAACCUCUGCUUUACUUUUUACAUCUGUGGACUAGACCAGCUAAAGCUGCAAGAUUAGAAGUUAUGGUAAUCUUACUAAAUUCAAGAUGUAGCUAUCUUUAUUAAACCAAUAUCAAUGUCUUAUUUAUUAAAAAUUACACAAGCAAAGAUCAUUCUGUCUUGGGCCGGGUUUAUAGUUUCGUAACCUCUAUGCCCAAUUUUGACACCUUGUAGUAUUUGGCAGGGAUAAGUAUGAAAUUGCUUGAUUAAUAAAUGCAACAAAUAUGUAUGCUGGCAAUUCUUCAGACAUUUCUAAUAUUACUUUACCAAUAAUUUUAAAGCUAGCUUAUUUACUAAAGAUUUUGCUUAUGUAAAUAAGAAAGCAUUUGACUAGUCUUUUCUUUUUUCCUGAUAAAGGAUCUGAUUCAAGUGUUUUUAUUUUCUUAAGCCAAUUAAUUAGACCUCUUUUAUAUCAGUAGUGAAAUAUUGUGUUGGCAAUGCAUAAAUACCUAAAUGUAUUAGGCAUGCCGAUAGAAGUACAUUUUAUAGAUUUAUAAAAACCUUUUAUUUUUCCCUAUCUGAGACUUUUGUAUUCUUGAUAACCUGUUUCACAACCCUAGGCAGUAGUCAGUUAAAUAGCCUUAAAUUUGCAUGUUAAAGUAAAAAACUCAAGUGAAAUUCAAAUAGCAAAAUUUACAUCAUAAGGUACAGAAAGAGUAAGUUUGGUGGUGCUGUAGGAAGAUUAAAGGUGGAUGCAAAAUCAAACAUAAAAUUAUAGAAAUCUAUCAUAGGAUUGUAUAAGGAGACCAAUCUUAUUUAAAUAGGGACUAUCUAUGGAUCUCCAAGCUCUGGGCAGAGCCCAUACUGAAUUGUAAAUCUUCAAAAAGGGAAAAUUAUUGUGAGGUUAGACCAUGUGAUGCUUUUACACUUGAAAAAAAAUUUUUAAAGACACUUUUAAGUGUCUAAACCACACUCUUCCUUUAAAACCCAAGAGUAACUUCUCUUGUGGUAAUGAUUUUAGUCAAAAAUAAAAAAGCAGUUAACACAAUAUAAAAUUAAGCAGUUUAAGAACUGAGACAUAUGUGGCUAGGUUGCUGGCCAGUUUCUUUUUUUUUCUCUGCGUUGCUGAGAGUCCAGGUUUAUUUGUCACACUGGGUGGGUCUCAAUUUCUCAUCCCUGAAGCCACUGCAAUGAGGCAGAAGAGCGCGAUCCCUCCUGAGAGAGGACUGGAGACCGCCCCUGGAGGAGAAUAUAUCCCUGUAAUUAAAUAGAUUCCCCAUAAGGAAAAACAGGUUUCUCCCCAAAAGGGAGUCUGGUGCCUUCAUUUUCUUUAAGGAGCCCCAGGCUAUUAUAAACUAUUUUAAGUCCCUUAUGCAGCAGAGGGUGCAAGAGAAAGGAGAGACAGCAGAAGUAAAUGAAGAAAACAGAAUUCAGUCAACUGAGGAAGAAAAAAACAACUUUUGCUCAAAAAGAGACAUGGUUUUAGGAGAAAAACAAAAACAAAAACAUGAAGGCCUUUUAAAUACGGGCACACACAUAUGCACACACACACACACACACACAUCUUGGAUGUUAGCUUUUAAUUAAGCUGACUUUUAACCACUGAGUUGCUUUAAAAAAAUCUUUUAAAAUGUCAUUACCGUAUUUCAACUAGGAAAAAUUGCUGCAAUUUCAGAAGUAUAGCCAUUGCUCUUUCAGCUUGAUCUGGCUAGUAAAAGGUGGCCUUGUUAUGUAAAUAAAGCCCCUUCGUAGUCAAAAUGAAAAAUCUUUCCUCUUUUUUUUCCCCUUUUGCUGGCCAUUUUUCCCCCCCGACCACACCACCAUUUUUUUUUUUUUUUUUUGGUAGGAAUUUAGCCACUUCAGAGGCCUCGUUCCCUGUAAUUUGGAACUUCCUUCAGAUUUAAUCAGGUCAGAUAGAGCUGAUCAAACCCAGUGGUAAAAAGACCAAAACAACAACAAAAAUAGAAACAAACAGCAGCAAAUAAAAAAGUUAAGCAAAACAAAUGAUCACACAACUUAUAUAGUUACUGAGCGCUCUAAUGGUAAGGAGAAAUUAAGACCAGCUGGUUGUUAAUCUUAACUUUAGCCAAGACAAACCACAAUUCACUUACUUAUCUAGGAUUGGGUCUCAAGCUGAAGACUGCUCUCUACCUUCCUAGAAGCAGGGAAAGAAAACUUCUUCUUCCCGUUGGAAGCAAGCUCAAACUCCCCAAAGGAGUUACCUGCUGUUAGAUAUGAGUUCUAAAUUUCUUUUCAAAUAAUUAAUAUGUCAGUAUGUUCAAUUCUUUGCCUUCUACUUUUAAAUUUAACUUCCUUGUAAAGCAACAUUUUUCGAUUACCUACUCCACCCUGACUCAUUUUGAUCACCUGCUCCACCCUAACUCAUUCCAAUCACCUGCUCCACCCUAACUCAUUCCAAUUACCUGCUACCAGCUCUGCCCUGACUCCCACCAAAGCACUCACUCCCUCAUUCUCUUUAAAUUAGCCAGCCAAUCAGAAUUAGCUUAGCCAGUGCUGUCUAACCCUAGCCAAUAGGGGAACGACACAACAGCAGGGGCCACGUGCAUCAGGGAUAAGAACCCCUUCCCCUCCCUUGUCCAGGUGUGCGCUCACCAUUGCUCCAACUGUAAGGGUGCACCCUUCUAUAGAAGUACCUUGCCUUGCUGAGAAUUAAACGAAAAUUUUACAUUCGAGUGCUAUUUCUUUUGCGGCACCAAAACUUUAUAUAUAACACUGCCUACCAUCGUAGUGGAAGCAGAAAAACUUGCCUUCCUUGUGUUGGAAACAAGUAAAACUCCAAAAAAAAAAAAAAGUUGUACAGCAAAAUAAACUAGUUCUCAACCAAAUUUUGGGAGAUCAGGGAUUCUCUGGAGGGGAUGCUUCCAGGCCUCAGCAAAUUGUUCUAUUGGUUUGAGUCAUAAAGAUUGCUGAAGCUGGUACCAAGCACCCAUAGGAGAUUUGUCAAAGGUGAGGGACACCUACACUCAGAAUCCCUCCUUGGUUACCAAAAUGUGAACCCCCAAAUUCUGAGACAGGUCUCAGUUAAUUUAGAAAGUUUAUUUUGCCAAGGUUGAGGACACACGCCCAUGACGCAGCCUCAGGAGGUCCUGAUGACAUGUGCCUAAGGUGGUUAGAGCACAGUUUGGUUUUAUACAUUUUAGGAAGAUAUGAGCCAUCAAUCGACAUAUGUAAGAUGAACAUUGGUUUGGUCUGGAAAGGUGGGACAACUUGAAGCAGGGAGGGGGCUUCCAGGUCAUAGGUAGAUAAGAGACAAAUGGUUGCAUUCUUUUGAGUUUCUGAUUAUCCUCUCCGAAGGAGGCAAUCAGAUAGGCAUUUAUCUUAGUGAGCAGAGGGGUGACUUUGAAUAGAAUGGGAGGCAGGUUUGCCCUAAGUAGUUCUCAGCUUGGCUUUUACCUUUAGUUUAGUGAUUUUGGGGGCCCAGGAUAUUUUCCUUUCACGGAAGCUAAAAGUUUCUUUGAUCAAAUAAUCAAUUUAUUUUAUUUCCAGAGUAAGGAUUUCUGUGUGCUUUUCUCCAAAGACUUGUAUUCUUUUUAAUAAUUGUUUUUCCUCUGUUUUCUUUAACUAUCACAGAUAAGGAAUGGUAAAGAGAUUUUGGUAACUAUUCUGACUUUCAGAACACUUUGUUGUUUCUUUUGUUGAGUAAUAGAAUUUCUUUUUGAUUUUUAGAAUUUCUAGCAAUCAAAGUAAUGCUCAAUGAAAGAAAAUUUGGAAAAAAAAAAAAAAAAAAAAAAAAAAAAACAGCAAGGAGGGAAGAAUUGUCACCUUGAGUCACAUCCCAAAGUCAAACAUCACAUUUCCAGUUUCUUCUUUUCUAUGCUUAGGCUUUGAAAAGACAAAGAGUAAUACUUAUUGCACAUGUUUCUGCAUUACUAUAAAGGUAAAUACAUAUCCAGUUACUUGAAAUAAAAUGCCUGCAAAAUCCUGUCCUCUCAUCUGCCAUUGAUAACAGCAAAUUUUUCUGUUAUGCAGCACAGUGAUGAGUUCCAUUCUUCAUCCUUUGUUGGUGACCAUAGGAUUCCUUUUUCUUUGAGCCUUGAAAUUACACUAUAUAAUUUUUUUCUUCUUUUUCAUGGCAUUUCUAUACCUUUACUGCAAUUCUAGCAUUAUUUAUAAUAUUUUACACUGUGAAGUUUUAUUUUCUCAUGUUUGUAAACAUACUCAUAACUUUACAUUUUAUUCUUUUCACUAUUAUAUUUUUGCAUAUUAUUUCAGUUUCUAUAAAUAAAAACUUAAAUGUCUAAAUAAUAGUCCAUCAAAAGUACUGUCUAUAAUUUAACUACUUUCUAACUAGUGGAGUUUUAAGUUGUUUUUUGAUUUUAGCAUUAUAAAUGUAAAUAACUUUGAUCAUAAAAAGCUUCAGAAUGUUUUGAAGAAUAAAAGAUCUGUCUUUUCCCAGAACAUACCUAUUUAUUUAGGUUAAGCUGAAAAGUCAAUUUUUUUUUUUUUGAUAGCAGGCAAAGUCUUGUUGAUACUUACAGACUGCAGAGAAAAUAUAAAACAAAGGUACAGCCUUUAUGCUUGAAGGACAUACAUGUUUUGUUGUUCCUCUUCUAGAGAUGGCAAGCCUGUCUCAUCUUUAUUAUGCUAGGAGGAAUACAGGAGCUGCCACCAUUGCUCAGCUUCUAGUUCACUUUCUGCCGACUUUUGGAGUUUUCACACAUUGACUAAGGACCACAAGUAUAAAGCUCUCGUGUUUUUAUCUCUGGAGCUUAAGGCUAAGUGUGAAGCAUGCAGUACUUUUUUCCAAAGAUUUUAACAACACCUUACAUGAUUGUUAUUACUUGACUCCUUUGGGUAAGAGGGAACCAAGUGAAGGAACAAGGGUGCCUCUCAAGUAUGGCAACUCAACGACACACCCAGCAACUGUGUUCAAAAUAGAGCUCAGAAUCUAGCUUUAGUCUUUCAACACAAGAAAGAUAGCAAUCUCAAGAAAUAUGCUUUGUAUUUGAAUUUGGAUUGGAGUAGAUUGUUUGUUCAGAUUCUCUAGGCUGGAUACUCCCUCUCAUUUUAUUUUUUUUAGUUUUCUUUUUUUGAGAUGGAGUCUCACUCUAUUUGCCCAGACUGGAGUGCAGUGACACAAUCUUGGCUCACUGCAACCUCUGCCUCCCUGGUUCAAGCCAUUCUCAUGCUUCAGCCUCCCAAGUAGCUGGGAUAUCCCUCUCUUGCUUUCUUUAUCCUUAUUUUCCCUCUCUCUCUGGAAACUUUUCUAUUUUGUUUUAUUUGAGAUAGACUCUGUGUUACCCAGGCUGCAAUGCAGUGAUGUAAUCUUGUCUCACUGCAACCUCCACCUCCCCAACUUCACUCCUUCAGAGCAACUGAGACUACAGGGGUGCCACCAUGUUCUCCACUGGAAACAUUAUUUUUGAUUAUCAUCAAAAUACGGGGGAGAGGGGCAGUGUUAUCGGCCUCUAGUGGGUAAUGGCCAGGGAUGCUGCUUCACUGUGGGGGCUACAAUGCACAGGAUAGCCCCCACAAUGAAGAAUUAUGGAGUCCAAACUGUCCAUAGUGCCGUCAUUAAAAAUGCUGCUGUACAUAACAAAUGUGUACCUCUAUGAGAUGGAUACUGGCCUUCCCUGAUUUAUUAAAAGCAAAGGGCAAGAAAUAAUUGGCCUAAACUCUGAAGUUACCUAAUAUCUUGCAUGUAGUAUUUUGAGAGUAAUGACCAUAGAAGGCAUAUCAUACCAGGAUAAAUAAAUAUGCGGAAACUUCUGUUGUAGUUAGGAGGAGAAUUUGGCAGCGCCAGGUACUCACGCCUGUAAUCCCAGCACUUGGGGAGGCCGAGGCAGGCAGAUUACCUGCCAUCAGGAUUUUGAGACCAGUCUGGCCAACAUGGCGAAGCCCUGUCUCUGCUAAAAAUACAAUUAGCCGAGCCUGGUGGCGCACACCUGUAAUCCCAGCUACUCAGGAGGCUGAGGCAAGGAGAAUCGCUUGAACCCGGGAGGCAGAAGUUGCAGUGAGUCGAGAUUGUGCCACUACACUCCAGCCUGGGUGACACAGUGAGACUCAGUCUCAAAAAAAAAAAAAAAAAAAAAGGAGUAUUUAACUUUGUUUUUGAUGUGUGGAUCAUUUUUAUUACUUUCAUAGGAUGUCAGCACUGGAAGGAACUUUAGAGAUAAUCUAAUCAACACCACAUUUUUCCAUUGUACACAGGAAACUGAAUUCCAAAAAGGAAACGAACUAACUCAAAUUUUCCCUGAUCUGGAAUUACAAGCAUCAGCUCAUUAUUCCUGCAAUAAAACCGAUUGGCCAGGAGCUAAACAGAAGACUUCUAAAAAAUGAAAACCCCUGGCCGGGCGCGGUGGCUCACGCCUGUAAUCCCAGCACUUUGGGACGCCGAGGCAGGCGGAUCACGAGGUCAGGAGAUCGAGACCAUCCCGGCUAACACUGUGAAACCCCGUCUCUACUAAAAAUGCGAAAAAUUAGCCGGGCGUGUUGGCGGGCGCCUGUAGUCCCAGCUACUCGGGAGGCUGAGGCAGGAGAAUGGCGUGAACCCGGGAGGCGGAGCUUGCAGUGAGCCGAGAUGGCGCCACUGCACUCCAGCCUGGAGGACAGUGAGACUCCGUCUCAAAAAAAAAAAAAAAAAAAAAAAAAAAAAAAUUGAAAACCCCUGUCUCUGAUAAAAGACAUUUUAAAGAUUAAACAAAUUAUGUAUAUGAUUCUUUUUAAAUAUAUUUUCUCCUUCUGAAGCACGUUGCAUAAAGAGCAUACGUUGAAAGUAACACAGAAAAUUAAAUUCUUCUACUACUUAACUUCUCUAAGCCUCAUGUUUGUUCUUCUACAAGAUAAAAUGGGGGAAAUAAUUUCCACUUUAGAGAAAGGAAUAGAUGAAGCAAACUAAAGUUUAUCAAGUUGAUGGGCAAAAAGUAGGAUCUCAACAAAUGAUAGUUGGCGUAUCAGUUUAAGUUAUGGAUUGCAAGCAACAGAAACAAAUUCUGGCCAAUUAAAGCAGAAAAAGAAUUACUGAAAGAAAAUUGGGUAGCACAAUGAAGUAUAAGAAUGCCUGGAGAAUGUGAAUUGGAAAUGGCCAAGAAUAAAGGAAGGCUGCAUAGUCAGAAUCACAAGCAAAAUUGCAAAAUUGCACCUCAGUUGAGUGAGGACACCAUUCCUGCUGCCACUACAGAACACGAGUGCACCAGCCUCUACCACAAACCUGAAUCUAGCACAACACCAACACUAGCAUGGCUGCUGCUGAAACUGCUAUCUUCACUCCCUCUCCAAUCCCUACCAAAAGGAAUGCUCCCAAUCCUGCCUCACUAUCUCCAUGUUAAAAAUUUCAGGUGGAUAAUUCUAGUUAGCUGAGUCUAGGUCACAGCCCUGUGCUCUACCUGUCACAGAGUCAGGAAAGUGAUCAUCUGACAUUUUCAGCUUAUUAUGGAAGAAGAAUUCUCUCUCUCACCAAGUAACAUAAAAUGGGAAAUUCCCUAGAGGAAGGGAGCUCAAAUAUGGAGAGUAUCCCACAUGUAGUGACAAAUUUUCACUAUAGAAGUCUUUUCAUCCUAACUCCCUCUGCUCACCAUGGCCACAAAAGCCAAACAAAUUCUGAGUGAGUUACAAUCAUCUGGGGACAAAACAAAUACUAUCUCCAGCAAUUGUUGUGAUAGAGCUUUUUGUGUAAUAGUUUCACUACACUUUUCUGACUUUUAGUUUCUUUUUCUUUUUCCUUUUUUUUUUCUUUUUUUUGAGACGGAGUUUCGCUCUCAUUGCCCAGGCUGGAGUGCAAUGGUGCAAUCUCGGCUCCCUGCAACCUCUGCCUCCCAGGUUCAAGUGAUUCUCAUGCCUCAGCCUCCUGAGUAGCUGGGAUUACAGGUGAGUGCCACCACGCCUGGCUCACUUUUGUAUUUUUAGUAGAGACGGGGUUUCACCACGUUGCCUAGGGUGGUCUCGAACUCCUGACCUCAGGUGAUCUGCCUGCCUCGACCUCCCAAAGUGCUGGGAUUACAGGCAUGAGCCAUGGCACCCAGCUGAAAUUUCUAAUUAGAUAACUUAUACUUUUCAGUCAAAACUCGAAAAAAUAAUUAUUGUUGAAGGGUAUUUGGAAUACAACUGUUUCGGAGGCCCUUAGUAGACUAAUUUAUAAAAAAAAAAACAGAAGGUGAUGAAGGAAAGUCUAUGUUUGAUCCAUACAGUCUGACACUUGAGAAAUAAACAGUGACUUCACAGUGGACAAAAGAAGAAGAAAACAUGAGUAGGAAACUCUGAUACUACUGUUGAUAAAUGGUGGUUUCAGACAAGGCUGAAGCAAACCUGGAGCUGUGGGAAGUGGUAGAUGAAGAAUGUACAUCGGGGAAAAGGGGAAAAGCAGUUAUAGUCUGUCUUUGAUAGUGUAAAAUUUAUUAUGUUUUGGUUUUAGGUUGAAUAUACUAUACAAAACAUAGUAUCUAGUAAAUUUUAACAAUGGAAUAAGCAAAAGAAUCCUUGAAGCCUAAAUUAUAAUGGAUUUAUUAGUCAAAUAAGCCAGAUCAUUGUAAAAUAAAACUUUAGGUUUGGAAAAGAAAGACUAAUAUGUAAUUUAUAGAUAUCCUAAUCUCUGAGGCAAUAUAAAAAUAUAUUAAUAUUUAGCUAUGCUCUCUAGCAUGUAUCACAAGUAUGUCUUGAAAAGUGAAGUGACUGUUAGUUUCCUAGGUAGAAUGAUCGAAUACCUUAAUUAUUGAAGUUAUCACACAAAUAGUUAUAGCAUUCCUACCACAUUCUAGGUCCUGUGUUAGGACCUGGGAUACAAAGAUAAGUAAGAUACAGUUAUUGUUGCCAAGGAACUCACAGUCUAACAAGCUCCAAAAUAAUAUGAUAAAUGCGGUAAAAGAUAUUUACAGGAAACUAAUUGGGGAUGGAGCCCAUAGCAUCAUAUGAGGAGAAAGAAGGAAGGCUUCCUGGAAGAGGAGGUGUCUGAGCUAAUUCUAAAUCACUGUACCAAAAUUCUCAAGUUUUAAAAACAAGAGAGCAAACAGUUGUCCUGUUUUUUGUUUGUUUUUGAGACAUGAUCUCAUUAUGUUGCCCAGGAGGGUCUCAAACUCCUAGAUUCAAGAAAUCCUCCCACCUCAGCCUCUCAAGUAGUUGUGACUACAGGUGCACACCGCCACACCCAGAUCCCUUUGUUUAUAUAAGGGAAAUAAUCAGGAGAAUAAGGCUAAUAAAUCCCUUUGGAUUCCUAAACUUACUUCUUUAGCAUAUGUAUCUGAAAUUUUCAAAACUGUUGGUAAUAUGAAUAAUAAAUUCAAUAAAUAUAAAUAAUAUGUAUGAAUACAACACUCCAAACCUUUCCUACAUUGAUUAAAUAAAAUGCUAGUGGAUUUUUACUUUCUUCAUUCACCAUACAUACAACUUGUUAUAGCCACUAACAGCAUAUACUUAACCCCUUCUCUUGGUAGGGUUACUGGAAACUAAAUGAAACACGUGAAGUUAGGUACAGGGCCUGGAACACAGUAGAGUUCAAUAAGUGAUAAUCUCCCUCUCCAGUCCAAGGUGGGUCUUAUACACCCUUUUAUUACAGUGCCCUUGCAAUCAAUGAUGCUCCAUAAAUAUUUAAACUAUACACUGACCCCGCAGUUAAUUACCAGUACCUAUCAAAGAAACCCUUAGCAUCAUCUCUCUUUCCCCAAUUUCCUCAGUCUCCAACCAAUUUAUUUUUAGUAAUGCCUUGUGACAAAACUCUGUAGGGAUAAGUUCCUAAAACAAGAGUGUCACAUUUAAGUUAUAUUUUUUAAAAAUCACAUAAGCAUGAUUCAUAAAACAGUUAUUGGAAGCUUCUGCCAAUCCAACUGCAAAUAGAAGUAUCAAGACUUUAAUAUCUGUGGAAAAACAAAUCGCUCAAGUAUUGACAUUACAUGCAAUCUCCAAUUCCAGAGUAGGUAAGGAUAAGGCAGUAAGUGUAGAUAGAGUACACCGACAACAGAUGGCAGCACUUGAACAUCAAGCCCCGAUGAUAAGCCCUCCUUUUCACAUCCAUGUUCUGCUGUGACUUGCAGAUUUGCAUAACCUCAAUCCAGGUGGGCAAAAGAUUAUGUCUACAUACUACAGUAAUGAGAAGGGACAACAUGACAUGAAACUCGUCUGAGACACAGAUGAGUCUAUGACUUGUUGAAGUUGUAAAGGUAAUAGAUACGAAGCUGGGUUCUGCAAUCUCGAAAAUGGGGGUACCCACAAACCAUUAGAGCACUGGAAACAUAUAAACACUUAAAAUGUCACUCAGCUGCACCCACACAAUGUAGCUGGAAGUUGAUUUUUUAAAGAAAUGAAAUUUAUACUCAAGUGUGGUUCAUAUAAAUUAGAGUUACAAGUAAUAGAAAAUGAGUUAUUACAAUUUUUGGUAAUGGUUCUUAUAUGUUAAUAGAUUUGUAUAUGGUUUCUAACUAGGAAGAAAUUAAAAAGAACUUUUGGAACUUACUUGCUAGUUUAUUAUACUGCUAACUUUUACAAGAAGAAAUAGAUUCCUUCAUUCUUCUGUAUUACAUGGUUAACAGCAACAACUUAGGAGAAAAAGACACCUAGAUUGAUAUACUACCUCAAUCUCUUUCUAGUUUUGUGACCUUACCAAGACACUUAAGCUGUCUGUGACUUUAGCUGUUAAAAAGUGAUUACUGGGUGUGGUGGCUCACACCUGUAAUCCCAGCACUUUUGGAGGCCUAAGCAGGAGGAUUGUUUGAGUCCAGGAGUUCCAGACCAGCCUGGUCAACAAAGUGAGGCUGCAGUGAGCUGUGAUCGUGCCACUGCACUGCAGCAUGGGCGACAGAGCAAGAUCCUGUCUCAACAACAACAAUAAAAGACGUGAUCAUACCUACCUCAUAGGAUUUUGUAAGGAUCAAAGAAUUAAAGAAAAUAGCAUAAUGCCUAACACAUAGUAAGGACUCAAUAAUUGAAAGCUAUUAUAAUUGUGGUUCGAUGUAUUCUCCCCCUGCCCUGCUAAUUUUAAAUUAUUUACUUCGCGUUCCUGAAAAUGCAUUGCUAACUGUAUUAUGUGUAGAUAAAGUGGCUGGGAGCUUGAUAGCUGUAGCAAUGUUUUUGCAAAUAUUGUAGAUGAAAAUAAAGCUAAUUUUGGAAGGGAAUGGGGAAAGAUGUAAAUUUUAGUUUUACAUUAUUUAUUGUGUACUAAAACCUGUAUGAAGGUCCCUACUUAAGUCUAAGGUCAGGAUCUCAUGAUCCAUUUUGAUUAGCUAAGUUUGCUCAAGCCAAAGGACUUUAUUGCUUCAUGCUAACCAGUCUGCCAUGCAGUACAAAGACUGCAAUAAUAAAAUUGUGAUUUCUUGCUCCUCAGUUGCCUUGCAUCAGCGAAGGGCACACAAUGCAGGCUUUGGGUUGUGAUUAACCGUAAGGGUCUGCCCCAAGAACAGAUAACAGCAGACUGCACUCAGCUAAAUAUGCUUCUAGGUAAUGCAGGAGUUUCCACCAGCCUACUCUAAUCACACAGGUUUCUCUUUCCCUUUCUAGGACUGUCUACCCUUGAACUGGAAGUAGGCAGAAUGUAAAGAGAGGAGUUGCUGGAUACUUUUAAAGGCACUGAAAAAUUCAAGUUAAAGUUAUAGUUGAGGGGUAGUAGCCUCACUAGCCUAUCUUGAGUAAGGGUCAUGUCUCAUUCAUUUUUGUGUCUUCAAUGUCGCAACAGAGCUCUGCAUUCAAUAUAUUUGUAAAUAUAUGAAUUCACAAUUUUGAUUUUCUGAAAUGUCACGUGUGAGGACACUACCAGUUUUCAAAUAAAUACACCUUUUAAAGUACAGUUAUGUGCCAAAUAACAAGGCUUCAGCAAUGAAUGGAUCGCAUAAACUAUGGUGAUCCUAUAAGAGUAUAUGACUGUACCUUUUCUAUGUUUAGAUAUGUUUAAGUACACAAAUAGUUACCACUGUGUUAUAAUCGCCUACCGUAUCCAGAAUGGCAACAUGCUGUACAGGUUUACAGCCUAAGAGCAAUAGGCUACAUCAUAUAGCCUGGGUGUGUAGUAGGCUAUACUAUCUAGGUUUGUGUUUAAAUACACUCUAGGAUGUUCCCUAAGGGAUGAUUAACCUAAGGACACAUUCCUAAGAACAUAUCCCCAUCUUAAGUGAAGCACUACUGUAGUUGCUUUUGAAAUGUGUGACCUAUGGUGUAUUAAGAGGAAUACCGUGUGCCAAGAAGUGACGCUAAGCGUUUUACCUUACAACUGAGUUAAGUAAAAUUUGGAAACUUGGUUUCGAGGUUAAUACAUGAAAGGCGACACAGGUAGUAUGUGACAGAGGGUAAGAAUUGAAUCCAGGUCUACCUGACUCUUAAUCACAAGACAAAAAGUCUUCUAUUAAUUCCGCAAAAUCUGGUCAGCCGCUUCAAUGCGCAGCUUUAGGCAGUCCACACCUGGAAUUUGGGGUCUGGUUUACCAAGAACAGCCAGUGUGUACACCCACUCCAUCCUAUCCAGGAACUGGAAUCGAGAAGGUAAAAACGUGGCUAUUGCGCAUGCUCACACCGCCCUUCCUUGCUCUCCCCUCCCUGACCCUAGAUGCCACCGCAGCAACUUUCUGGGAGGAUUUUGGAACGGCUCCCGCCAACUGUUAAGUCAAACCGGCGGAAAUCCUUCCUUUCUGCGACGUGGACACCUUUCUCAUCCUCGGGCCUUUCCAACCAGGGUGCAGAAACCACGCGCCUCCGUUUCUCAGGGAUUCAAGCCGUAGUUUGCCAGUUGUUAAUAUGGCCGCUGACAGGCCGCUCCCAAGCUGAGGCCUUUCAUAGGCCAAGAUCGCAUCCUGUCCCCGCCUAUUUUGUCCCUCGUGGCUGCGUCCGCCCAGCUCUUCGCUACGCAUGCGCAGCGGGGGCAGGCUGGGAGGUGGGACUGACUGAGUCUUCCGUGUGUCGCCGCCGUUGCCGCCUCAGCUUCAGCCUCGUUACUCCUGCGGUUCUGUGACUGUGCUGCUGGCGUUAACGGCGCGAGGUGAAGGGAGGUGACGGAGUGUGCCCGCGCGCGCGGGGGUCCCCUCAGUCCCAGCAGUUCCCUUCGUGCGCGGGGGGCGGCGAGGGUCUUCAGCAGUCGGGAGAGGCCCUUGACGGCGCCAUGUCGGCGGGCGGUCCAUGCCCAGCAGCAGCCGGAGGGGGCCCAGGGGGCGCCUCCUGCUCCGUGGGGGCCCCUGGCGGGGUAUCCAUGUUCCGGUGGCUGGAGGUGCUGGAGAAGGAGUUCGACAAAGCUUUUGUGGAUGUGGAUCUGCUCCUGGGAGAGAUCGAUCCAGACCAAGCGGACAUCACUUAUGAGGGGCGACAGAAGAUGACCAGCCUGAGCUCCUGCUUUGCACAGCUUUGCCACAAAGCCCAGUCUGUGUCUCAAAUCAACCACAAGCUGGAGGUGAGCCGUGGGUGCUGGCGGCUAUGGCAUCCAACCCCAGGCUGCCCGGUGGCGUCAGAUGCCAUUUAACGCUCCAGUGAAACGACCCUAGAAAACUGCCCACCGGGGCUUCAAAUGUGAUGGGAGAGUGCAUGUCUGAGGAGUGAGGUGAGGGUGGGGGACAAAAAGGGCCCUAGACCGACGUGUGAGUUCCCGGGGUACUGUCGUCCACCUUCCUAGUAUCUCUCUGAGGAGGAAACUAAUUACAUACACCAGCCUCCAUUGCACAUGUUACAUUAACAAACCUAACAAAGAUUCUCUGUCAUGAAAAUACCGUAGGCCACCUUUUGACAACUGAGUUUUGCAGAUCUGCUUUCACAUUGAUAAACCGAAUUUGUAUAUGUUAAGACAGAUACAGCACUGAUUAUUUUCAUUUUAAUUAUUCCAGGUCAGCGCCUAUGAUUGCAUACAGAGACAUGCAUAAACUAUUUAGGGGAAUCUGAUCAAAGCUCUUAGGAAAAUUUCGUGGUGCAUAACGAUAGUAUCACUGUCUCGGUUUACAUCCAUAGUUGGUUGUUAAAUUACAGGCAGAUACCUCCAGAGAGCUCCCUGCAAUUAUUGAAAUUACUUCUGACCUUGAGUUUUUAUAUGCUUGUACAUUACUGUGUAAUUUUCCAAAGUCUGGAUUUAUUUUUGAGAGAGUGUAAAGAAUCAUUUGCUUUAAUCUCUGAUCCUGGGUGUGGGUGAGGGUGGAGUGGCUGUGGUUCAAAAAAACAAAAAUAUCAUAUUGUGCAGAAAAUUUAAAAAGGACAUUAUUAAAAUAUUUAGAAAUCAAGAUAGAUUAACAUUAUUGCAUAAAGAGUACUUUCUAACUAGGCAAUUUAAGAGAAUGGGUCUUUCUUUUCAAAAAGUGUAAUAGAUAAAAAUGGGAUAAUCAGUGAUGUGCAAAACUCUGAACAUGCUUUCCUAAGAAAUCAUCAUUACUCGUUGUCAUUGACAGUGCCCAUUAUAUCUAUAUCAAUAUGAAUGUCAGUUAAACAUCCUCUCCUUGCCUAGUGGUCAGCAUUCUUUCUCUCCUAUUAGCCAUGAAAUAUGUGGCAUAAUUAAUCUUUGAUUAACAUAGAUUUACAUAUCCAAGAAUUGUGGCUCUUCUCCACUGCGAGAACUGUUAAUUUCUUCUAUCCUUUUUGAAAAGAUUAGAAAGUGCUAAUAUGAAGGUAAUCACUUCUUACUGUAGGUAAAUGAAAACAUCUCUUGAUUUCUUUAUUGGUAGUAAUUUCCACAAGAAAGCUAUUUUUCUCAGAUAGUGAAAUUGCAUUUAAUGUUUUCUAGAAAUAGUACUUUAACUUUAUUUCAUCUUAUUUUAUCUUAUUAUAUUUUUUUCAAAAAAGAGAUGGAGUGCUUUGUUGCCCAGUUUGGUCUUGAAUUCCUGGCCUCAGGUGAUCCUCCUGCCUUGGCCUCCCAAAGUGCUUUGAUUACAGACAUGAGCUACUGUGCCUGGCCAUUAGUUCUCUAGCUUUAAACAACAAAGAUCAAGAGUAGCCUUUACCACAUGGUAUAAUUCGAAUGUGUCCCCCAAAUUUCGUGUAUGGGAAACUUAAUCCUCAAUGUGACAGUAUUGAAUCUCCAAUGUGGGGCCUUUAAGAGGAGACUGGAUCAUGAGUACUCUGUUCUUAUGAAUGGAUUAAUCCACUUAUAGAUUGAUUUGUUAUUGGAUAAAUGGAUGAAUGAGUUAUCAUAGGAGUGUAGAACUGGUGGUUUAUAAGAAGAGGAAGAAAGACCUGAGUAAGCAUGUUAGCAUGCUCAGCCUCCUUGCCAUGUGACACCCUAUGCUGCCUCCAUACUCUGCACAGAUCCCCUGCCAGCAAGAAGGCUCUCGACUUCUCGAGAUCUGGCCCCUCGACCUUGGACUUCUCUGUCUCCAUAACUGUAAGAAAUACAUUCCUUUUCUUUAUAAAUUACCUAGUUUCUGGUAUUCUGUUAUAAGAAACAGAAAGUGGACUAAAACAUCACACGAGAAAUUUCAUAUCAUUUACAACUGCAGUAUCAACUGGGCA